UGUAUGCUUGCGUUUGUGUGUUGUAGAAUAGGUUUGAUGCAUGUUUGAUAAGUUUGGAGGCGAAAUGUGCAUUGGGAGCCAAGUUUCUGCCCUUUGGCAGAAACCAGGUUCGGCAGCCGAAGGAACUUUCGGCCGCCGAACAUGGCUGGGGAGGCAGCCUUUCGGCUGCCGAAGCUUGCCCCCGAAAGGAGACUUUCGUCUCUGUCUGGCAGUUUCGGCCGCCGAAGGUGCCGCCGAACAUGCAUGAGUUUCGUCUCUGUCUGGGAGUUUCGGCCGCCGAAGGUGCCGCCAAACCUGCCUGACUUUCGGCUCUGGAGGGACUUUCGGCCGCCGAACCUGCCGCCGAAAGUGCCCUGUCCAGGCCUUCUUUGCAUGUUUUUGCAUGGUUGGUUCAUGAUGUUUUAGGGGGUUUUUGGGGAGUAGUUUAUAGUUAUGUUCAGGUAUGUUUGGUCCCUCAUUUGAGUCCACCUGUGUAGGUUCGGACCCGAGGAACCGAGGACCCCAGCAGUAAGUUCAGCUGCUUCGGUGUUGUCAGAGUCAGCCAGAGGUGAGUGGAACUAAACUUAAUCUUUUAAAUUAAAUGUUUUAUCAUGUUUCAUGCAUCAUGAUUAUACUAUAGGAUGAUUGCAUUAGCUUCAUGAAUAUGCCGCAUUGCAUCUAUUGUUGUUGAUGUGGGUGAAUGUUGGAUGACCCAAUUAGUCCAUGACAGGAAGACCAGGACCCCAUUCUACGGCCUGGCACUACGUAAGGAAAGACCAGGACCCCAUUCUACGGCCUGGCACGGUUAUGGGACUCGAAGACCAGGAGCCCAGAGGAGGCCCUGGGGAAAUGGUAAGUAAUGUAUGUUAUGACAGGAAGACCAGGACCCCAUGCUACGGCCUGGCACAAUGUUAGCUUGGACUAAUUGGUGACAAGUUCACCCAACCCUUAUGUGAAUUGUCUGUGUUAUGAUGCAUUUCAUAGAGCAUAGUGUUAAUAUGUUUUAUAGUUCAGCUCACUGGGCUUUUAGCUCACCCCUCUCCCUUUACCCCCAGGCUUGCAGGUACAGUAUAGUGCGGGAGUCCGGAUAGAGUAAAGAAGUCAUGCUUAUGUAAUAGCUAGCAAUGGACAUGAUCAAAUUGUAAUGUAAAAGUACAGUAUAGUUAUGUAAUGAGGUUUAUGGAUGUUAGUGUGUGCUUGACCAUAGAUUGUGCUAUCCCUUUAACACAUGAUCUUAGAGAUUUUUACGAUGUUUAUGUAAACCAACUCAACGUAUGUUAUGUCACCCCUUGGGGGCACUGAUGAGAUCCCACAGAGGGAUCAAUGUUAUGUUAAUGUUUAUGCACAGGUUGAGUUUGGUUGAUGUUCAUGUAAAGAAAAGUUUUAAUUUUUAUGUAUGUUGUGGAUCAUGUAUGGGAUUAUACAGGUUUACAGGUUAUAUGUCAGACUUGCUACGGGUCCCGGCGGCCUUAAGCCGAUCUGGAUCCUAGCGCCGGUAGCGGUCCGAUUUUCGGGUCGUUACAUCUUUGGCCUGGUCCAUACCCGCCUUGCGGUUUGUUCAUCAAAUACCUUAGAAGCUUCACAUGAAGCGGGACUAACACCCGGUAGAUCGGUCUGAUGUGUACCUACCUUACGGCUUAGCAUCAUCUGCUUUAGACACUUCUUGUGAAGUGGAACUAACACCUGGAAGGUCGGCCUGAGGUAUAUCCACUUUGAGGUUUAUUUAUUUAUUUAUAUGCAAUAAAAUUUUAUAUAAUUUAACUUUUCAACUAUUAUUUUUGAAUGCGUUGAUAAUAAAUAUAAUUAAUUAACUAAUUUAAAAAUUAAAAAUAUUAUUUAACAAUACAUUAAAUCUAUUUAAAUAUUAUUAUACUAAAAUCUUAAAAUUAUGAGAGCAUAUGUUGUUAAAGGGGGACUUUAGUUAAGAAAUAUAAAGAGUCAGCACUCAUCAAUAUUUUGUAUAGAUAUAAUUAGAGACCGAAUACUUAUACAGUUUGUAAUUUAUAACAACUCAAUUCAAACAAACGAUAUAAUGUAUUGUUGUAAAAAAUAUAAAUAAAAAUUAUUUAUUUUUUUAUUAUUAUUUUAUUUAUUUAAACAUGAUAAAUAGAAGUGAAUUAGUUAAAUCGGAUUUAUAUAAAUUUGUAAUAUAAAACAUGUAAAUUUUAUAUAGACCAUUAUUAUUUUACGGUAUAAGUUCAUCAUCUAAAUACAUAUUUUCUUUUUAAGUUCAUAUAACUUCUCAUUCAUUUCACACUGUUUGUAAGAUGUUUAGGUACUAAUAACUACCUUUUUAAAAGAAAAGAUGAGUGAAUUUGUCUUUUUAUACAAGUCUUUUUAUACAAGUUUUUGAAAGAAAUUGCCCAAUUUUGAUUUAGUGCUGAAAAUAAUUAGCUAUUUUUGAAAAUAUUUGUUUCUUUGAUGAAUUAGCUGAGUUACUUUGGAAGUAGUUAGUUAAUUUCAUUUGGGAUAAAACUUACUCAAAUCUAAAAUUAGUAACAAAAGUUUGAAUUUUGAAAAUCGUUUAGAAAAUUGUUUAAGAUUUAAUAUCCUCAAAAACAUUUCUGAAACAAUCGGCUAAUCUAUUAAUUUUGAAAAAAGAGAGUUUUGAUUAUUUAAAAUUGACAAAUUGCAUUCUUAGCUCUUGGUUUAAAUUUGAAGUAAGUCAUCUUUAGCUCUUGUUUACGUUUGAUUCUCUCUUGUUUUCUGAGAUUGAUAUUUUCUUUGACGUGUAUUUUAAUUUUUAUGAUAUAUUUUGAUAUUUAUUUUUAUAGUUUAGAUUUUAAAAUUAUAACAGAAAAAUUCAUUAUUAAUAUAAUUUAUUUUAUUAUUAUGUUAAAUAUAAUUAAAAUUUUCUGCUAUUUAUACUCUAGUACGAAAGUUUCUUCAGGAUCCUUAUUUUAGAAUAUAAUUUUAUUUAUACUUAUUUAACAAUUUAUUUGAUUUAUAGUGAUAUUUAUUUAAUAAAUAGCAAUUUUAAAAUCAUUUUAACUUGAAUAUUCAUAAACUUUUUAAUUUAAUUUUCAUUUAUUUACAUAAAUAUAGAUUAUAAUUAAAUUAGUUAUUCUAUACUUAUUAAUAUUAUUAAUAAAUAAUUAUAAACAUUCCUAUAAAUUAUAUAUAUAUAUAUAUAUAUAUAUAUAUAUAUAUAUAUAUAUUUAUAUAUAAAUAAUUAUGUAUAUAAAAUUUAAUUAAAUAUUUCAAUAUACAUAUAUAUUGAGAUUUUAUUUUAAAUUCAAAUAUAUAUUAUAUCAAAAUUAAAUUAUAAUAUCAGUCGUCACAUAAAACAAAAAUAAAAAAAUCACAAAUACAAUUGAGAGAAAUAAACUAUAUUUCAAGACGAAUCUCAAGACGAAUAUAAUAUAUGGCGUAACGUGAACAUGAGAGCCCUACAAUCCAAAAAAAUCUUCCAAAAUCAGAAAACAUCUACUACCCUUAGCAUCAAUUUCAACAUCUACAUUUAUAAACCUAUGCUCUUUAGCUGGUCGGGGGAUGGAAAGAAUUUUUUUCUUUAAAAUCAGUCACUCUACAAUAAAAUUGUCCAGAAUUAUUCUUGAUAACUCAUAAAUCCUGAUAUCACUUUUUCUUUUUAUAAAGAGGUCGAACCGAAUCUGUUGAUUAAGAACAACAUUAUAUUCAAAAGUAAUACGCACAUGUUGCUAAUCUAUUAGCACUUUUAAACCUGAAUGCACGGUAUCCUAUAGAGAAACAACUCUACCAUUCUAUCUGUUAGCACUUUUAGACCUGAAUGCAUGGUGUUCUAUAAAGAAGCAACUCUACCCUUCCAUAUCUUAUCAUUUCCUUUAUUCCAUAUAUUCUACAAAACAACAUAAAUUUUCUCCACAACGGAAAUAUCUAUUGAUGCAAGAAAAUGAGUAAAGUACUCAGACAUAGACAAAAAAUUAUGUAUAUAGGUGAAAUCCACGCCUAGAAAUUACUAAUAAUUCCUUGCAAAAGAACACUGAGUAAAGAUAUGAAGAAUAGUCUCAUUCUCCCUACAAUUAUAUCAUUAUGUCGCCACCUCUAUACCUUUCUUUCUCAAGUUAUUCCUAAUAGAUAAAAAAAAACCUCUCAAAGUGUGCCAAAAAAAAUUUUAAAUUUAAAAGGGAUAUGCAAUCUCCACAAUCUCUUCCAACAAACUAGAACUAUAUUCAAAGAGAAGUUAGGAUUGUUUUGAAUAUUUAAGUGGUAACCAAAUUUAAUUUAUUACUUACCAUUUUAAUUAGGGUGCUAGACCAUAUAAUCUCGUUUAUGGAAGAGUCCAAAAGGAUUGCUGGUAACUUAGUUAACAUCAGUGGGGAUCAACGUCUCACAAAAAAGAUUAAUAUUCCAAGUAGAGUCAUUUUCAUUAAUGAGACAACUAACGGUAAAAUUUUCUAAAUGUUGAAUUGCUAAAUUAUGAACAUAAAAAUUUUCUUUUUGGGAUAACCACAUGUCUCUAUAAACCCUGAUAGAUACACCAUCCCCAAUUCUCCAUCUCAUACCCAAAUUAAGAAGUCUUGUUAGUGAGAUUUUUCUCACUUAAAUGCUUAUAUCAUAUAAUAACUAUAAUAUAUAUUAAUGAUUAUCUAGAUAGAGAAAUUUAAAAUAUUAAAUUAUUUUUUUUUAUAAAAAAUAGAGUUAAUGACAAAAAAUAUCCAUCUUUUUUCUAAGGUCAUUUCCAACGCUACGCACCAUUUUUUACACUAUUUUAGUGUAAAACAUCAAAAUAGCACAAUAUCAUCUUCAACCUUCUGCAUCAUUUUUAACAUAAAAAAUAAUAUUCUAUUUAUAUUCUUCCCUCUCCUUAAUAUUAUAUUAUUUGUUUUAAUUUAACUUUAUUUAUCCUUUCACUAAAAAAGUUCAUAUGUUUUUAUAUAUUUAACCCAUAUAUUUAUAUAUUUUACAUUUUCAUUCGAUAUUCAUAUAUUCAAUUAUAUUAGAGAUAAAUAAAAAUACAUUUAUUAUAAAAAUGCAUUAAUUAAAUAUUAAUUAUAAAAAUACAUUAAUUAAAUAUUAAUUAUAAACAUACAUUAAUUAAACAUUAAUUAAACAUUAAUUAGCAAAUUAAAAAUAAAAUAGACUCAUACAUAUUAAAUUAUCAAUAAAAAAAUACAAACUAAUUUAGAUGAUCAUUUGAAUUCAUAUAUUACUCCCACAAAUGCUCUAUUAAUGCAUUACAAAGUGCAAAAUGGGCAUUUUUAUCCUUAAUUUUUUUAUGUCAAGCUAAAAAUUAUUCAAAUCGAAUAGUUUCAUUGACAAUUAUUUCAACAAUUGGAGCUGAAAAUUCUCUACUGUCUUCAAUAGGUGCAUUAAGGUCACGUUUAUCUUCGAUUAUCAUAUUAUGCAUGAUAAUAUAUGUAGUUAAUAUAUCAUGCAAUACUUCUUUUUUAAAAAAACGUGAUGGCCCUGCAACUAUUGCAAAACGUGACUGCAACACUCCAAAAGCACGUUCAACAUCUUUUCGAUAUGAUUCUUGUUUCAUUGCAAAAUACGCGUUCUUCCUUGUUUGUGGUUCACGAAUAGUUUGCACAAUAGUUUACCACUUUGGAUAUAUACCAUCAGCUAAAUAAUAACCCGUAUUAUAUUCUUUUCCUUGAAUAACAUAAUGAACUGGAGGAGCAAUACUUUUAGCAAGGUAGGAAAAUAAAUGCGAUGGCUCCAAAACAUUAAUAUCAUUAUUAGAGCACAUUCCAAAAUAUGCAUAUCAUAUCCAAAGGUCAUAAUCAACUAUCGUUUCUAAAAUGAUUAUUGGCAAUCCACUACGACUUGUAUAUUGGCUAGCCCAUGCAGCAGGACAAUUUUUCCAUUUCCAAUGCAUGCAAUGGAGACUACCUAAUAUUCUUGGAAAGCCACGUUGCUCACCAAUAUAAAGAAGCCUUGCAACAUCCUCAGCAAUUGGUAAUCUUAAAUACUGCUCACCAAACACCUCAACGGUAGCUCAACAAAAUCUCUUUAGACUUUCAAUUGCAGUGGACUCUUCAAUUUUCACAUAUUCGUCAGUAGCAUCCGUCGGCAAACCAUACGCUAACAUUUGAAACACAACUGUGAUUUUUUGAAGAGUAGAUAAUCCAAUUUUAUCUACUGCAUCUCUUUGUUGUUCAAAGUAUGUAUCAUGCGCUUUUAUUGUAUCGAUAAUAUGAAGAAAUAAAUUUCGAGAUAUUUUAUAUCAUCGACGAAAUAUUACAUCAUUGAAGCAUGAAUUAUCUGAAAAAUAAUCCAGAAAUGAAUUACAAUCAUCCGCUUCACGAUCUCGAUUGAUUACUAGAUGGUCUAGAAUAGAGCCACCUCUAGAAACUCAGUGUUGAUAUUGUAUUUGCUGCAAAACCAUCUUAUUUCUAAGAAUUUGUUGAUUAACUAUUUGUGCUUCCACUUCAAACUCAUUAUCAUCUGAAAUAUAAUUAUCAAUAUCUAAAGAAUAUGAUAAUGAAUUUUCAGCAUCAUUAUUUGAUGUACCUCCAACAUAGAAAUCUAUUUUAAGUAAUAAUUUGUAGAUUUUUUUUACUCGAAUUUAAGAGGAACUAGAAAAUAUGAGUUAUAUUUAUAUCUUAGAAAAAUACAUUAUUUAAUAGGAAAAUGUGGGGAUAGAGAUGCAUACUAUCCGAAAGUGGAGAUUGAGAUAAAAUCCAUCUAAUGGUCGAUUUUAACAUGAAAUCUAUCAAGAUACUGUUGGUUUAAUUAUUGUUUAAAAUUUCAUAUGAUUUUAUUGAAAAAUAUUGGGAUAGGAAUGCAUACCAUCCAAAGAUAGAGAUUGAGAUUAAAUCCAUCCAAUGGUCGAUUUUAAAAUGAAAUAUAUCAUAAUACUAUUGGUUUAAUUAUUGUUUAAGAUUCUGACUUUAUUGAAAAACGUAGGGAUAGGUAUGCAUACCAUCCGAAGGUGGAGAUUGAGAUGAAAUCCAUCCAAUGAUCAAUUUUAAAAUUAAAUCUAUCGGGAUACUGUUGGUGUAAUUAUUAUUAAAGAUUCUAUCUGACUUUAUUGAAAAAUGUGGGGAUAGGGAUGCAUACUAUCCGAAGGUGUAUAAAUUGAGAUGAAAUCAAUCCAAUGGUCAAUUUUAAGAUCUAUCAGGAUACUGCUGGUUUAAUCAUUGUUGAAGAUUUCAUCUGACUUUAUUGAAAAAUGUGGGAAUAGAGAUGCAUGCUAUCCGAAGGUGGAGAUUGAGAUUAAAUCCAUCCAACGGUCAAUUUUAAGAUGAAAUCUAUCAGGAUACUGUUGGUUUAAUUAUUAUUUAAGAUUCCAUCUGACUUAUAUAUAUUAGAAUGCAACAUCUACAACUUACCAUAAGUUAGCCAUACCUUCAAUAUUUAAUCACUUUGUAAACUACGACUUUAAGAUCUGCAGGAUAUUCUACCAAUGAAGAUGUGCUAUUAUGCAGAAUUAAUCUAAAUGUUUCACAAGAUUUCGUUAUAAGUAAAUGAUGAUCUGAGAUCCAAUAGAAUAGGGUUUUACAAGGGUUUCGAUAUUGAAAAAUAAUCUUAAAAAAACUUAUGCUACCUGGGGAGGGAGCUCCCCUUUUAUCCAUUUCGCUUUGCUUACUGGUGACGUGUAAAGGCCUCUCCGUGAUUGGGACACGCGUCUCUGACAUACAGAUUCGGGUGUACGAGGGUAUCAGCCGCUUGCUCCAUGCGUAACGGCCUCUGAUUCUCCUCGUGCGUACGUUCGAGCGGAUCUGCCAGGCUGUCUGAGUAGGGCUCUGGAUACUGGGCUGGGCCGAGAGUUGGGCCGGACACUGGGCCCAAGAGGAGAGGACCUGCUUCGCGUGGGCUGGACCGACCUGAGUGAGGAAGCUUGAUCGAGCCCGGCCUUGAAGGAUGAAUGAGUUGGGCCUUUGGCUGUGGUCAAGGCCCAGGACCGGGGUAAAGAAAUCCAGUGGUCAUCAAUUGCCCCUUCACCUUCUCGGUAGUUAUUGCUUUCAACUGCCGAGGGGGGGAAUAUCAAGAACCAUUAUGACCGCGUCUGUUCGUGUUCAGAUGCCUUCAUAACAUCCUUUCAUCUUUCUGUCGUUGCGCAGUUUUUGAAUCUUAUCUGCUUUUUCCCCUUUCUGGCUUUUCUCUAUUCUCCGUAUCCUCUGUUACCUUUGCUUUCUUGUCGUCAUUAUCUGGACAUGUCCUUUCUUUCCUUUCCCAUGAACAUCUGUCAUUGCUAGCUUAGAGUCUAAUAUAACUCUAUCUUGUGCUAGGGCCUCAGACUUCCGGGUAUAUAUCAACGCCAGCUUUUCUUCAUUCUUGGACCCUCUGUUAGAGUAAGGGAUUCUUCCGUUUCCAGUUUUCUGUCUGCUUCCUUCUUCCGACGAGAUUGUCCUGUUUUAUCUGCGAAUGAUCCAUUUGACGCCUUCUUCAAAUGGCUGGAGGUGAGCUUGAGUUUGCAUUGCUUUGUUACUCCAUAGAUUUGCUUUAAUCUUGCCUUUAUCAUCUUGAUAGAAAAUUGUUCUGACUUGUCUCUGUUUUGAAACUUUUUGCAGUACCUGAGAUAAAAAUGGGUCAGCUCAAAAUUUUUGAAAAUUUGAGGUUACCUCUAAGGAGUCUGAGCGUUGUUUUGGAGGUCCUUUUGGUAGGGAGGUCGACGGUUGAGACCAUUCGGCAAGUCGCUGGAACUAUUUCACCCAGGUCGUCUGGCCGGCCUCCUCCUUUGCUUGUUGUCCGGAUUCCGAAGAGGUUCUGGGGUGUUGAGGGGUUUGCUCUAAUUUUACCUUUCUUCGGGAGAGACAAGGAAAUUUCCCCGAUGCCCCUGUUAUCUGCUUUUGAUAUAAAUGGAAGUGGUGAAAAUGCUCAACUUAUUGUUCCCUUUGGUGUGAAGUACCAGUAUUAUGCGAGGCUGAGAUCUGUUGCACUCAGUCAAGCUUCUGGCGAUACCUUCGAAUGUAUGCUCAGCGAUCUCCUUGGAGCCGUAACUAGAAAGCCCGUGUUUUCAUGGUACAUACGGACAAGCUCGGAUAUUAUAUCCUGUCCUUAUGUAUCGUGAAUCACAUCUGGGCAAUCAGGUUGUCGACCUAUUAUAGGGGAACAGUGAGAAAUACUUAUGGGAAUCAACUUGUUCAAUUCCCCUAUAAUAGCGAGACAGAUCUUGGCCUUUUCUGCCAAACUCACAUUCUGAGCUGCGAGAGUUGCUCCGAGCUGAAGAUUAGAGUAGUGAGGUAGGUGAUGACGAUGUAAUCGAAGAUGGUGAAGUAUCUGGACAUGUAAAUCCUUUAAGGAUAGUCUUCCAUUCUGUAGGCCCGGACAUGUAAAUCCUUUAAGGAUAGUCUUCCAUUCUGUAAUGUACUUUUCUUUUAAUGAAAUUCUUGUUUUUCGUUCAUACUUGAGCUUGUUCUUUUCUUUGUCGUGGAUGGAGUACUGAUACUGCUUUCUUCAUAGCCUUAGCCAACUAAAUUUUGUUUUUUCCUAGCUGAACUGACCGUAUUCGUGAGCUUUUGCUUUUGAUCAAUGAUCUGAACUCCGGAUCCACUUAGCCAACUGAGCUUUUGCGUUACUCUUUCCGAGCUGGACUUACAGACCUGUGAGCUCUGUCUUUACUCGAUGGGUUGAGCUUUGAAUCUCUUUAGUCAGCUAAGCUCUUAAGUUACGUUUUCCGAACUGGACUAACCGACCUGUGAGCUCUAUUUCGGUUUACUUUUUCCGAGCUAGAAUGCUGACCUGUGAGCUCUACUGUUAUUUCAUAAGUUGAACUCUGAGCCCUUAGCUCUGUAUGUUUCCGAGGUGCCCUUGUUGCCUCCGAUCUCGUAGCAUUUGUUCAAUAACAAUCGAAUCAAAUCUUAUAACUUUUUAAGUGAGAAGCAGGUCUAACUUUUAUCAUGCUCCCACCUGUUUAUACUUUUGAGUCUUUUCAUGACUUGCCCCUCUAUUUCCUUGGUAUUUACCGUGGAAGUGGUGAAGUGGUGAAUCUGGCAAGUUGAGUUACUGUGAUUGACGAGUUGGGCUUGUAUUAUGUAGAUGGCAAAUGGGCUUAUGUAGAUGGGCUGUCAUUGUGGACUUGGCCCUUGAUGGAUGUGGAGAAGCCCAGCGAUCAUCCUUUUGCCCCUUUACCUUCUCGCUGGUUAUUAGAUAACCGUUGAGAGGGUAAACUUCGAGAGUAAUUAAUGAUCGCGCCGCUCCAAGACAAAACUGUUCAGAUCAACGUUUCAUCUCAUUAUUGCCUUUCAUUUCGAAUUCCUUCUAUCUUUUGAAGAAACUAGCUCUUUUCUGCUCUCUGUCUCCCUGCAACUCCUUCUGCUUUUUUCACCUUAUUGCAUUUUCAGGUACGCUUCCUUGUUCUUCCAUGGCCCUUUCAGAGCUUCCUGAUGUUGUUGACAUUGAGUCGCAUAUUACUCCUUCCAACAUAACUAAGUACAUUUCCCGGAGGCUCUUAGAUACUCCUCUGUAUCUGAUUCGAGCGCCUCUUCCAAAUGAAAGGAUAGUCCUUCCUUACCCUCCCCCUUCGGGUUUGGUGGAUCCCCAAGAGGGUCGUCGUAUAGUGUUUUUCUUGAAGCAGAGAGAAUUCGGUCUACCGUUUCCUUUUACCCCUUUCUUUAUUGAGGUCUUUGAAUAUUUCGGGGUCACUCCUCGGAUGUUAUCCCCAAACUCCAUUUUGUUCAUGUCCUGUUUUGAGUCUAUCUGCCUGGGUUGGGGUUUUACACCCACGGCCUGUCUGUUCGUUACUUUUUUCCGCCUGGUUAAGGCGGUUCAAAACUUCUAUUACUUUUCCCCCCGUAGGGGGUUAUCUCUUUUCACGGGGUAUAAGGACUCCAUAAAGGGAUGGGUGGAGAACUUCCUUGUGGCGGAGUUAAAAUUAGGGUCCGCCAGAACGUGGGAGGUGGAUCUGAGUUGGGGGGAGAUCUUUCCGGGUUGCAACGAGCUGCCCCAAUUGAGUCUUAUUGAGCAGGUGGGGCUGCUUCGACUGACUUCUGUUGAGAAGAAGUAUGACGUCGAAAAGUGUAUGUUCGUGUCCAAUCUUAGGGAUAUCCGGGACACGGGUAUAGUGCCUUGUCCAAUUAUUCUGUUUCUUCUUUGCCCGUAAUAUCAGAAGAUAUGUUGACUCUUUGUACUUUCGCGUUUUUUGUAGCUUCUGAGGUAAAGAUGGAUGACAUCAAGUUUCCCAAGAACUUUGUCCUAUCUCGGGACAAUAUGCAUGCGAUUUUUGACGCAUUUGGGGAUGGGCGUUCAGUGACUGAGAUUGCUGCGGAGAUGGUUCAAGCUGCUUCCUUCAAGAAGGUUAGCCGACCUCCCGCCAAAGCUUCUUCUAGAGCUUCGAAGCCGAGCUCCCGCAGCACCAAGCCAUCUAGCCGUGGUGGGUCGAGCUCAACUCUUAGGCCUGCUGAAGGGUCUAGGUCUGCCCCAGCCUCCUCGGAGGUCGUGAGGGAAGCCUCCUUAGCUAUUGUGGAGCAGACCCAAGGUGCUGAACAAGUGGAGCAGGGUAUUGCCCGUUCUCCUGGAGGGGUGUCAGGGGAAAAAUCUAAGUCCCCUGUGACUAAAGACAAGGAGGCCUCUGGGACAGGGCUGGAGAUCGUCCUUAUAGAGGACCCAAUUCCAGAGGUUUCUACCCAGGAUGUCUCUGCCCCUGUGAGGACUGAACCUGAGGGUUCUGAGGGCAUUCCAUCAAAGACCGGGGACAAGCGCUCAGCCUCUCCUAGAACAUCUGCCCCAUCUCCUACUCGGAAGAAGUCCAGGGCUGCCGCAGGAGCUUCUCCAGCCCUUCCUUCCAUUGGGAAGGGGAAAAGUGUUGUUGCCGAGCCUCCGUUGUCUUCUUCUGACAACGCUCUGAACACGUCGGACAUUACCUCCGAGUCUCCGACCAGUGCUGUCGCCGAAUUUCUCAAGGAGUGAAUAUUCGGCAGAAUCACAGAGGCUUCAGAUCCUCGUCUUCUUGCCCUGACUGGUCUCUUAGCCAGUUCUACCAAGGAGCAAUCAUCCUUCCGAUCUCGCUCUCGUGAGGAGCUCGGAUCCACGAUCAGGGAAAUGCUUCUGAUGGUAAAUUACUUUUUUCACUGCUUUUCAGUUUGCUUUGUUUCCUUUUCUUGACAGUUAUUCUGCCUUUUUAGGUGACAGGCCUCUUUAUGGAGGUGGAUGCUCGUGAUCGCUCCCUCCAGGAGUCCAUAGACCGCCGGAUUCAAGAGGCGCGUCUGGAGGAAAAUCUGUCUGCAACCAGUGAUGCGAGGGGUAAUCUGGUAGCUGCUCGGGAGCAAAUCCAGUCCCUCCAGGUGAAUUUGCACUCUGCGCUAGAGGCCCUUAAAAAGGCUGAUAAGAAGGCGGCUGAGACAGCAAAGCAUACCGAGUCUUUAGAAGCAGAGUUGUCUCGGACUCGUAAGGUUCUCAAAGUGUCUGAUGAGAGGGCAGCUGCGAUGGAGGUUCGUUGUGAAGAAGUUUUGAAGCAACUGUCCUCUAUGACACAGGCUCUUCAAGAGAGAAAUGAGGCUGUGAGCCAGAAAGCUGAGGUCCAGCGUCAAUGUGAUGGUUUAAAGGCUGAUUUUGAAGGACUUGAGGCUCAUCUCAAUGAAGUGAAAGCUCAGAAGGAAAAGGCCCUAGCUCGGAUGGAGGUCCUUGAGCAUGAGUUGAGUACGAGCUCUGAUCGUAUCAGAGACCUGGCUUCAUCGGCUGAAGAGUUCAACCUUCGCCACCAGCAGCUCAACCAUGAAGUCAGGACCUUGGAGCGUAAGUGUUCAGCCCUGCUUAAGGUAGUAAAGCAUUUUGAAGACAAAUCUCAGCUGGUGCGUGAGCAAUGCAUAGCGGAAUAUCAGGAGUCUGAUGAGCUGAAAAGGAAGAUCGAGCAGGCCUGUGAGGCCCACCUCCAGGACUAUAAGGACUCUUCUGAGCUUAAGGAAUUUGUAGCUGAGGCCUGUGAAGCACAUCUUGAUGAAUUUAAGGCUUCUAGUGAAAUGAAAGCGGCUAUUCUUAAGAAAGCCUUCCGUAUGUAUGUGACCGGCUAUAAUCGCGGUUUAAGAGAAGCCAGACACGCUCCUGAUACUCCUUUGGCCGAGCUUCGCAAGUAUGAAGCGGACUCAGAUGGCGAGCCAGUGUUGUAUGGGGAGGAUGAUUUUCCUAUGCCCCGAGGAGAUUGUCGGAGGGACAUAUGCCGGCCAGCUGAGUCUUCUUCGGAAGAGUCCGAGCUAGAGAGGGAGGACGUGGAAGUCCUUGAGUCAGGGAAGGAUGACCCUAACUCUGAGAAGGAGGAUCUCCACCUUGAGUCAGAGAUAGCUCCUGUUGUAAACGUUGAGGGCUCUGGUCCAAGGGAUUCCGAGCUUCCUUCAGAUGUGACUGCAAGUGGAAAUAAUGUAGGCGAGGGUGUUCUUACUGAUGUAAGUCCUUUAAGGACUAUUUAUCCCUCCACUUCGUCAGAAGGAUAAUUUGUAAUAGUUAUUUGUAAUGAAAUAUCAGUUUUCUUUUUCCUCAAAGUACUCUAAUAUCUUUUUUCUCAUAUUUGUACACUAUGUAUUCUUAUUCAUAAGCUCUGGAUUGCUCUUGAGUUGCAUGCUCAGCUCUUAGCUAAUAGUCUGAGAGAUCAAAUCUCAUACCUUUUAAUGGCGACUAGCAUGUCUGUUUUUUUGCUUUUAGCCUUUCCUUCUUGGUUGUGAAUUUGGAUGUCUGUUCCCGAUAAACUGAUUUUGGAGUAUGGUCCUUUUCUCCUUCAUUUAUCCUCUUACAGGUUUCUUUGUUUAUGAGCCUUUUGAAAGAGGGAGCCCGGCCUUUUGUUUUGGCCUUCAUACCUUGGCCUUUUGAGGAUGCAAGUCUAUCCGAGCUGGGAGCUCGACCUUGAGCUUAAUAUAGGUCUAUCCGAGCUGGGAGCUCGGCAUUUUGCCCGAUAGCCAAACUUUUAGCGUUAGCGUCUGUUUCGAGGUCGGCGCUUCUUGGCUAUUGUGCCCCGAACCUCUUCAGGAGGUCGGAACCUGAUUUUGCCUUGGUAGCUCUGGGCUCCUCUCUUUUUGUGAGGUCGGAACUGUGUGUUAGGUUGUCCCUGCAUAUGAUAUGGAGAAUUUUCAUUUCGGGAAGCUCUUAAGUCCUUCACCGACCAUUUCUUGUUUUCAGGAGAUCUUACGAGAUCCUGACUGUUUUGUUCCGGGGUGACCUUGGGGCCCUGCCGGCAGUUUUUUGUUUUGAUUUUCCCGGGAGUUCUAGGGGAUCCCGGUCUUCAUGCUUCGGGAGGCAUCUUUAUGAUCCUCNNNNNNNNNNNNNNNNNNNNNNNNNNNNNNNNNNNNNNNNNNNNNNNNNNNNNNNNNNNNNNNNNNNNNNNNNNNNNNNNNNNNNNNNNNNNNNNNNNNNNNNNNNNNNNNNNNNNNNNNNNNNNNNNNNNNNNNNNNNNNNNNNNNNNNNNNNNNNNNNNNNNNNNNNNNNNNNNNNNNNNNNNNNNNNNNNNNNNNNNNNNNNNNNNNNNNNNNNNNNNNNNNNNNNNNNNNNNNNNNNNNNNNNNNNNNNNNNNNNNNNNNNNNNNNNNNNNNNNNNNNNNNNNNNNNNNNNNNNNNNNNNNNNNNNNNNNNNNNNNNNNNNNNNNNNNNNNNNNNNNNNNNNNNNNNNNNNNNNNNNNNNNNNNNNNNNNNNNNNNNNNNNNNNNNNNNNNNNNNNNNNNNNNNNNNNNNNNNNNNNNNNNNNNNNNNNNNNNNNNNNNNNNNNNNNNNNNNNNNNNNNNNNNNNNNNNNNNNNNNNNNNNNNNNNNNNNNNNNNNNNNNNNNNNNNNNNNNNNNNNNNNNNNNNNNNNNNNNNNNNNNNNNNNNNNNNNNNNNNNNNNNNNNNNNNNNNNNNNNNNNNNNNNNNNNNNNNNNNNNNNNNNNNNNNNNNNNNNNNNNNNNNNNNNNNNNNNNNNNNNNNNNNNNNNNNNNNNNNNNNNNNNNNNNNNNNNNNNNNNNNNNNNNNNNNNNNNNNNNNNNNNNNNNNNNNNNNNNNNNNNNNNNNNNNNNNNNNNNNNNNNNNNNNNNNNNNNNNNNNNNNNNNNNNNNNNNNNNNNNNNNNNNNNNNNNNNNNNNNNNNNNNNNNNNNNNNNNNNNNNNNNNNNNNNNNNNNNNNNNNNNNNNNNNNNNNNNNNNNNNNNNNNNNNNNNNNNNNNNNNNNNNNNNNNNNNNNNNNNNNNNNNNNNNNNNNNNNNNNNNNNNNNNNNNNNNNNNNNNNNNNNNNNNNNNNNNNNNNNNNNNNNNNNNNNNNNNNNNNNNNNNNNNNNNNNNNNNNNNNNNNNNNNNNNNNNNNNNNNNNNNNNNNNNNNNNNNNNNNNNNNNNNNNNNNNNNNNNNNNNNNNNNNNNNNNNNNNNNNNNNNNNNNNNNNNNNNNNNNNNNNNNNNNNNNNNNNNNNNNNNNNNNNNNNNNNNNNNNNNNNNNNNNNNNNNNNNNNNNNNNNNNNNNNNNNNNNNNNNNNNNNNNNNNNNNNNNNNNNNNNNNNNNNNNNNNNNNNNNNNNNNNNNNNNNNNNNNNNNNNNNNNNNNNNNNNNNNNNNNNNNNNNNNNNNNNNNNNNNNNNNNNNNNNNNNNNNNNNNNNNNNNNNNNNNNNNNNNNNNNNNNNNNNNNNNNNNNNNNNNNNNNNNNNNNNNNNNNNNNNNNNNNNNNNNNNNNNNNNNNNNNNNNNNNNNNNNNNNNNNNNNNNNNNNNNNNNNNNNNNNNNNNNNNNNNNNNNNNNNNNNNNNNNNNNNNNNNNNNNNNNNNNNNNNNNNNNNNNNNNNNNNNNNNNNNNNNNNNNNNNNNNNNNNNNNNNNNNNNNNNNNNNNNNNNNNNNNNNNNNNNNNNNNNNNNNNNNNNNNNNNNNNNNNNNNNNNNNNNNNNNNNNNNNNNNNNNNNNNNNNNNNNNNNNNNNNNNNNNNNNNNNNNNNNNNNNNNNNNNNNNNNNNNNNNNNNNNNNNNNNNNNNNNNNNNNNNNNNNNNNNNNNNNNNNNNNNNNNNNNNNNNNNNNNNNNNNNNNNNNNNNNNNNNNNNNNNNNNNNNNNNNNNNNNNNNNNNNNNNNNNNNNNNNNNNNNNNNNNNNNNNNNNNNNNNNNNNNNNNNNNNNNNNNNNNNNNNNNNNNNNNNNNNNNNNNNNNNNNNNNNNNNNNNNNNNNNNNNNNNNNNNNNNNNNNNNNNNNNNNNNNNNNNNNNNNNNNNNNNNNNNNNNNNNNNNNNNNNNNNNNNNNNNNNNNNNNNNNNNNNNNNNNNNNNNNNNNNNNNNNNNNNNNNNNNNNNNNNNNNNNNNNNNNNNNNNNNNNNNNNNNNNNNNNNNNNNNNNNNNNNNNNNNNNNNNNNNNNNNNNNNNNNNNNNNNNNNNNNNNNNNNNNNNNNNNNNNNNNNNNNNNNNNNNNNNNNNNNNNNNNNNNNNNNNNNNNNNNNNNNNNNNNNNNNNNNNNNNNNNNNNNNNNNNNNNNNNNNNNNNNNNNNNNNNNNNNNNNNNNNNNNNNNNNNNNNNNNNNNNNNNNUCCAAGUUGGGCUCUGUUCUACCUGUAGUACCGUGUUUGUCUUUUUAAAAGCAGGUGUGCGGACAUGCUGUAUAUAUACUUCGUCGGGAAGCUGUUCUAACUCCUCUUUGGUCAAUCGACUAAGCAGGUCUGCUUCCUCAUUUUCAUCCCGAGGUAUUCUUUGAAAUCUGACGAUAACUCCCCGAACCGUGAGCUCGGCUUCUAUAGUUUUUACUUUAUCAAGAUAGUUCUGCAUGAUGGGGUCUCUAGCCUGAUAUACUCCCGUCACCUGGUUGAUCACCAACUGAGAGUCGCUAUUCACCUCGAGGUCUGUUACCCCGACCUCCGAAGCUACCAACAUUCCAUUUACCAGGGCUUCAUAUUCGGCCAUAUUUUUAGAAGCCGUAAAUUCUAGACGCAAGGCAUAACAUACUUUAAAACCUUCUGGCCCUUUAAGCAUUAUCCCAGCGCCACUACCCUCAGCACCUGAUGCUCCGUCUACAUACAGCUUCCAGCUAAAUUCUUGAGGGGGGCUCUCUCUCUUCCUCCUUUCUUGAUAUCUCUGAGGAUGAUCCUCCUUUUUCCUCAUUGAAUGCGCACUCCGCUAUGAAGUCAGCCAGAGCUUGGGAUUUUAUGGCUGUUCGAGGUCAGUACUCUAGACAGUAAGGGCUAAUUUCUACAGACCAUGCCAACAUCCGCCCUGAAGUUUCCGGCCUAUGUAGAAUCUUCUUUAAGGGUUGGUCUGUCAUCACGACUCCUUGGUGGCCUUCUAGAUAAACUCUGAAUUUCCGGACUGCUAGUAAUAAGGCGUAAGCCAAUUUUUCAAUGUUCGAAUAUCUGACCUCAGUGUCUCUGAGUACCUUGCUAACGUAGAAAACAGGUUUCUGCUCUUCUUCUUCCACCCUUACUAGCACUGCGCUGACUGCUUGUUCUGAGGUCGCCAGAUAUAUCAGAAGUUCUUCUCCUUUUAUGGGACUGCUGAGCAUGUGAGGUGAGCUAAGAUACUUCUUAAGCUCUAUGAAGGCCUUUUGGCAAUCUUCUGUCCAUUCGAAAUUCGGUACUUUUCUCAACUUUUUGAAGAAUGGCAAGCACUUUUCUGCCGACCUCGACAUGAAUCGGUUAAGCGCUACUACUCUCCCGGUUAGUCUCUGAACAUCUCUUACACAGGUCGGUUCCGGCAUAUUUAGUAUGGCUUCCACUUUCUCUGGGUUAGGCUCAAUGCCUUUACCACUCACCAUGUACCCCAAAAAUUUUCCUCCCCUAAUGAAGAAGGCACAUUUUGCUGGAUUCAACUUCAUUCUGUAUUGAUCUAACACCCCGAAUAUCUCCCUCAAAUCUGCUAUGUGUUGUUGGAAAGUGGAACUUUUGACCACCAUAUCGUCCACAUACAUUUCUAGGUUUCUACCGAUCUGGUGUUUGAAGAUUUUAUUCAUCAACCUCUGAUAUGUUGCCCCGGCAUUUCUCAAUCCAAAGGGCAUAGCCCUAUAACAAUAAGUUCCAUCUUCAGUUAUAAAUGAGGUCUUUUCCUCAUCCAACCUUUCCAUUGGGAUUUGAUGAUAACCGGACAUAGCAUCCAAAGAAGACAUAUAAUCAAAACCGGCCGUUGAGUCGACCAUUUUAUUAAUAUCAGGCAGGGGGUAACAAUCUUUAGGGCAGGCCUUAUUUAGGUCGGUAAAAUCUAUACACAUUCUGUAUUUGCCAUUGGCUUUUUUGACUAACACAGGAUUUGCCAACCACUGUGGCCAAGUAUACCGCCCUUGCUUCUUCCUGGCUGCCCCGGACCAUUCCCACUCCUUCUUCCGUUGGGAACUUGAGUGCCAAAUACCUGAUACUAGUGACAGCUUCAAAGUCGAACAACGCCGGUCUCCCCAAAAUCGCAUUGUAGCUCAGUGGGAGUUUGACCACCAAAAACACCUCAUGAUGGGUGCGAGCUCUGGGUGCUUCGCCCAAGGUAAGAGCCAGCUUCACCUUUCCUUCUACAAGUACCGGUGCUCCUCCGAUCCCCUUGAUUGGUGACUGGUCCCGAACCAGCUGUUCCUCUGGGAUUCCCAUCUGCUGAAACACUCGGUAUGACAGCAAGUUGACUUUACUCCCAUCAUCCACUAAGACCUUCUUUACCCGAUAAUUAUGAAUGACGGCUUCAACGACAAGCGCGUCAUCAUGGGGCAUCUGAAUACCCUGAGCAUCUUCUGAGGAGAAAGUGAUGAUCAUGGGAGAGUGGUCAACGAUUUGCAUGACUUCACUAUUGCUGGUCUCUCCUUCCCGGUUUCUCUUCUUUCCUCGAUGGCUCAUCCGUCCUCCCGUUCCUCCAACAAUCAUGUGGAUGGUCCCACUGGACCCGUCAUUCACUGGUCCAGCUCCUAUUCUCCUAGGCGUCUGAGUUGUCGGACCAGGGUGAGGCCUCUGUCCCUCUGGUUUCUUCACAAAAUUUUUGAGGUGCCCCCUUUUUAUCAGCCUCUCAAUCUCCGCGAUUAACUGCAAACAGUUGUUCGUAUCGUGCCCAUGGCUCCGGUGGUACUGACAAUACUUGUCAGGAUUUCUUUGAUCUGCUUCCGACUUCAUGGGUUUGGGCCACUGGAGGAACUCCUUAUCCUGGACUGCCAUGAGUACUUCGGCUCUGGAAGCGUUGAGGGGGGUUGGUUUCUCGGGAACCCAAUGAGGGAGCACUCUUGGUUCAAGAGCCCGAGGAGGUGGAGGAGGCCUUUGAUCCCUUCUCUCCCAGGUCUGUUUGUACGGCUCAGGCCUCUUUCCAUGUUUCUUCUCGUGUCUCUCCGGCCUCCUUUCCUCCGGGGCUUUCUCUUUUCCUGCCAUCCCUUUGGCAAAUCUACUCGUCACUAAGGCGUCAUCCUGCCUUAUAUACUUCUCCGCCCUCUUCAUCAACUCAGCCAGUGAGGUCGGAGGUUUCCUGCUCAAAGAACCAAAGAACUCGGCAGAGGUUGUUCCCUUUUGCAUGGCCUCCACCGCCCUUCCUUCAUCUAGUUCGGGAAUCUGCAGGGCCUCCGUAUUAAAACGGGCGACAUACUCUCUGAGUGAUUCACCUUCUUUCUGUUUCACUGUUUCUAGAUAGCUCGUCUUCCUAUCUGCUGGCACCCCGGCUAUGAACCAGCUGAUGAAGCGGGUGGCAAGAUCUCCAAAACUUUUGAUGCUUCUAACCUCCAAGCUGUUGAACCACGCCCGCGCUGGUCCCGAGAGCGUUGUUGGGAACACCUUACACAUUAAGGCAUCUGACAGGGUUUGCAACUCCAUGAAGGUCUUAUAGUUCAUGACAUGCUCUCUCGGGUUACCAGCUUCAUUAUAGGCCGCCAUUACCGGCAUCAUAAACUUCUUGGGAACGGUCUCCUGCUGCACUAUUUUUGAGAAAGGAGAAGAGGUGGGCAAGGAGGUUUGGCUCUGAUCUUUCUUACCUAGCUCGGCUAAGAGCUGCUCUUUCAACCUUUUCAGCUUUUGGUUCAUUUUCUCGUCUUCCGGGCUGGACCCUUUGCCCAAGCUGUAUUCCUCCUCCUCUGUUUCAGUUCCCGUUUCCCUGGUUGUUUCGGCAGAAUAGUUGUCCGCCUCCUCAUUUUCUAUCAACUCUCUUGCCCUUCUCCCAUGGAUUCGGGCCUCCGGUUCUUCCUCUUCCCCGGCAUCGUGGCUGUUAGUUUGGAGGCGAUCAGAGGUAGGUCGGGGCUCAUUGGUUCUAGGUUCCUCCACUACUGGGAGUGUAUUUACUGGGGUGCUAAGGCCCCUCUGUUGCAUUAUCUGCCCCAACCAGUGAGCAGUAGUCUGUAGCUGGAGAGCCAUGGUUUGAAUGUCCUGGUUAGACAGAAUCAUGGUGGGAGUAUUCCCUACCAAGCUUGGCGAGGGAUUAAGAGGGAUAGGCGUUUGGUUAUUCAACGUUGUAGGGCUAGAAAAGGAGAACUGCUGCCCAUCUUGGGCAGAGCUCAGGUCAUUUGGAAUGUUAAGGUUACUUUCUUGGUGGUUUGCCAUCGUGGAUCUCAGUGGGUUUUGAAAGUGAAAACUCCGGUGAUGAAAAGAUCUCCUUCGUUUCCCACAGACGGCGCCAAUUGAUGAUCUGAGAUCCAAUAGAACAGGGUUUUACAAGGGUUUUAGUAUUGAAAAAUAAUCUUAAAAAAAAACUUAUGCUACCUGGGGAGGGNNNNNNNNNNNNNNNNNNNNNNNNNNNNNNNNNNNNNNNNNNNNNNNNNNNNNNNNNNNNNNNNNNNNNNNNNNNNNNNNNNNNNNNNNNNNNNNNNNNNNNNNNNNNNNNNNNNNNNNNNNNNNNNNNNNNNNNNNNNNNNNNNNNNNNNNNNNNNNNNNNNNNNNNNNNNNNNNNNNNNNNNNNNNNNNNNNNNNNNNNNNNNNNNNNNNNNNNNNNNNNNNNNNNNNNNNNNNNNNNNNNNNNNNNNNNNNNNNNNNNNNNNNNNNNNNNNNNNNNNNNNNNNNNNNNNNNNNNNNNNNNNNNNNNNNNNNNNNNNNNNNNNNNNNNNNNNNNNNNNNNNNNNNNNAAGUGAAAACUUCGGUGAUGAAAAGAUCUCCUUCGUUUCCCACAGACGACGCCAAUUGAUGAUCUGAGAUCCAAUAGAAUAGGGUUUUACAAGGGUUUCGAUAUUGAAAAAUAAUCUUAAAAAAACUUAUGCUACCUGGGGAGGGAGCUCCCCUUUUAUCCAUUUCGCUUUGCUUACUGGUGACGUGUAAAGGCCUCUCCGUGAUUGGGACACGCGUCUAUGACAUACAGAUUCGGGUGUACGAGGGUAUCAGCCGCCUGCUCCAUGCGUAACGGCCUCUGAUUCUCCUCGUGCGUACGUUCGAGCGGAUCUGCCAGGCUGUCUGAGUAGGGCUCUGGAUAUUGGGCUGGGCCGAGAGUUGGGCCGGACGCUGGGCCCAAGAGGAGAGGACCUGCUUCGCGUGGGCUGGACCGACCUGAGUGAGGAAGCUUGAUCGAGCCCGGCCUUGAAGGAUGAAUGAGUUGGGCCUUUGGCUGUGGUCAAGGCCCAGGACCGGGGUAAAGAAAUCCAGUGGUCAUCAGUAAACAACAAUCUAGUCAACGUUUUUGAAGUCGGGUGGCAGAAGCAUAUGAAGUUGCAAAGAAUGAGUUUUGGGAGUUUCGCAACCCAUAAAUACUAUUUAUAAUCGAGAAUAUAUUAAUUUAAAUUAAAUUUUUAUAAUUAUAAAAAUAUAAAAUAAUUUAAAAAUAUAAUAUAUUACUAGAGUGAAAAAAAUAAGAAUCUAAUUGAAAAUUUUUAAAUACUUAAAUAGUAAGAAAUGACUUUUAUGAAAAAGAUUACAAAAUUUUAGACUAUAUUGUAAAUUAACAAAAAAUUAAUAAAAAUAAAUGGCACUAUGUGACCCUAUAACAAAAUAUCAAAAUCGCGCUAGAUUUUACUGUUGUGUUAGAUUGCCAUCUCCAGUGCUAAAAUAGGAUUUGAUGCAGUGUUGGAGGUGACCUAAUUGCAUCUUUUUUUUUUUAUAUAUAUAUUGCACUAAUUAAAUCCCACACUUUUAUAUUUAUUUCAAUUGCACCCUUAACAUUAGAUUUUUCACACUAGGACUAACAAAAUUAUUAUAUCAUCUAAUAUAUCAUUACCACAUUAUUAUGCUAUCUCAACAAAAUUCAGAGUUUAAUUGAUAAAUUUUUAAAAUUUAUAAUAUUAAAAAAUAAUUUAUAUUAUUAUUAUUAUUAUUAUUAUUAUUAUUUUUAAUUUUAUUAAUGAUUUACCAUAUCAAUUUAUUUUAAUUUAGUUUCAAGUUAAACCACCCCUAAAUUAUUUUUUCUAAAUUCAUGCUAAUUAUUUUUUAGUUUAAAAAAGUAUAUAAUAAAUCAUAUAUAUAAAUUACAUUUCAUAAUUUGAAAUAUAAAAUUGAUUUAAAAUUAUAUUUUGCAUAAUUUAUUUUUAAGAAUAUAAAAUAAUAAAAUAAUUAUAACUAUUUUUAAUAUGUUUUUAAAUAGCAUUUUUUUACUUGCAACCAUAUAGUUUAUUAUGUAUUUUUUAAAUUAAAAUAAUAAGUAAUCUAAAUUUGAGAAAAAAUAAUUUAGAAGAUUAGUUAAUUCAAAAUUAAAUUAAAAUAAAAUUAAAAAAUUUAUAAUAAUAAUAUAAAUUAUUUUUUAAUGUUAUAAAUUUUAAUUUUAGGAGAAAUAAUAAAAAAUUUAAUAUUUUAAAAAAAAUUAUAAUUGUAUCUUACAUUUAAAAAAUUUAUUAAUUAAAUUUUAAAAUUUUAAAUUUAACUAAUUAUAUUAAGAAUUUUAAUGAUGUGAUACGAGACUAUCACAUAUUACAUGAUGUGAUAUUUUUAUUAAUUUUAAAAGUAAAUUAAUAUUAGAAUAUAAUUAAAAUAAAUAUAAAAAUAUAGGAUUUAAUAAAAAAAAUUUGGAUGUUUGUUAUCAUUCACCGUAAAGAAAUAUAAAAUCAAUCUAUAAUUUUCUGGAUUAAUAUAUAAUUCAUAAUUUAUAAUUUACUACAAGAUUAAAUAGCGCACACGGUUUUGCACACCCAUGGCCAUGUGAGCUGCCUUUCCAACCAAAUUCCUCCCCACGGCCAAAAACAUUGUACGAGAUUUGCCCUUUCCUCCACUCUUGUGCAGAACUUUGCUCUCUCUCUCUCUCUCUCUCUCUCUCUCUCUGUAGUUGAUAGAGCACUCCAUAGUCCUUGGCUGCGUUUGCUUUAGUUUUUUCUCUGUUGUUCUUUCUACUUUUAAGGCAAGUUUCUCUCCACUUGUUUCCCAGAAACAUUACCUGGAUUCCUGGCUUCUAGCGUGUGUUUUAGGCAACAUAUCUAUGGCCCUUACUCAUGCUUUCUCACUGUAUGCCUUAGCUUUUUGUUUUUUGAGAAUGUAAGAUUUUAUCGUAGUGGAGGAUUUUGGUUCCGUAAUUGGCUUAGUUUCUUUAGGACUUCUCUUCAUUUUUCUUUGAUUUCUUUUGAAGGGAUGCUUGUGUUUGUGUUUGUUUUUGUGUUUGAUUGCAGUAUAAAUGCUUGUUAUAUUACCUCACUGAUGGGUUUUGGUUUUCAGUGAAAUUCACUGACAAAGGCUUUUCUUUUUUGGUGGGAGAGAUGGAGCGGAUUGAGGCCUAGAUUAGUUGUUCUUGGGAUGUAAUUUCUGGCGAAAUGGCAUCUUUCAGUGGGUUAGGAAUUGGUUUGAGCUUAGUGUUUGGUUGCCUUCUUUUAGCACUUGUUGCAGAGCUCUACUAUUUGCUAUGGUGGAAGAAAAAAAUCACCAACAGAGAAGUUGAAGAUGAUGAUUACAGCGGAAACUAUGCGAGGGAAUUCUUUGACUUAAUCAGGUGGAAGAAAUCCUCCUCUUUGCAAGUUGACAACACCAUUCAAGAUAGAGUGAGAAUCCCAGAAACUCAUGAGCAAGAACCAGACUUAGAAUUAGGCACAAGCAAGGAUUUGCUUCUGAAGGCUUUUGGUGAAGAAAGUGUAGAAUCAGAACUCAUGAGGCUGCACAAUCUCUCAGGCCCACCAAGAUUUCUCUUCACAAUCAAAGAAGAAACAAAGGAGGAUUUGGAGUCUGAAGAUAGGAGCAGAAAAGGGUCAAGAACAAGAAGUUUGAGUGAUCUUAUAGUGGCUGUUGACACCCCAUUGCUUACCCCUUUAGCUUCUCCACGUUUAAAGUCUUCUCCUCUAAAUCCUUUGGAUUCUUAUCAUCAACAUGGUUUCAAUCCUCUCUUUGAAUCACCAACAGAAUCAGAGAUUAGCAGGCUGAGAUCUUCGCCACCUCCAAAAUUCAAGUUCUUGAGGGAUGCAGAGGAGAAACUGUUGAGAAAAUUAAUAGAAGAAGCAGGGAAAAGGGCAACUAAAACCAGUGGGUUUGUUCAAGAUUCUGGGUUUAAGCCUCCAAAUUCAACAGUGUUAACAGAGGAGACAGAGGGUUCUUUCUUGGGCUUCAUUGUUAGUAAAAACAAGGAAACAGAUGUUCUUCAUAAUCUUCCACAGCAUCCUUCAAGCUCUUCUCAGGUACUCCCAUUGGCUUCUUCACCUACAACUUUCAGACCAUUAGACAAGAAGCCCACUGCCCAUUAAUUAAAUUUGGUUUUAAAAUAACAUGAAAUGAGUAUUUUGCAUUUUUUUCUGUUAAUUUAUCUUUCAAAAUCAAUACUUGUGCAUUGAAGUUCUGAUUUUUUAUUUUCCUUUAUUUCAUCUUGGGUUGUUUAAGGAUAGACAUGGCCAUUCUGCAAAAAUUUGUUAGGCAUGGAACCUUGAGCAUUUCAAGACAAACUGACAAAUUAUGGCAUUAUAGUAGUUAAUAUGUAGGUUGUGUAUAGUGGGGGAAGUGUGGGGUACUAAUUCCUUUUUAGCCAUUAUGCAUGUCCCCUAAACAAACUUAAUCUGAGUAAAUUAUUAAUCAUGUGGCAGAUGGGUGGCUUUACUAUUUUAAUGGCGAGAAAUGCUAACGAUGGACAUUUUUUUAAGGUGAUUGUUUAACACUCUAUAUUUUAUUAAUUAAAAAAUUAUUUAUUAUAUUUUUCAAUUUUAAACCUUAUUUCCUUGGGUGUAAUUUCUUGAGAAGUUAAAGCUUUCACUUUAGGAAAUAACUAAAUCCUUUCGCCUAAGUUAAUUUUGGAAAACCGAUUUUCUAAAAGAUUGAAUGGUUAAACCAAAGAAAACCUAAGGAGAAAAAAAAGAUAGAAUUUGGGAAAGGAGAAUACAAGAGGUAAUGAAGUAUGGAAAAUUGAGUUCUCUUAUUUUAUGAAUUUAUUCGGGGGAUAGCUGUAUUCAACAUAUGAAAGUUGAACUAUGGGAUCCACCCACCCUUUUUUUUCAAAAAUUAAAAAAAAAUGAAUAAAAGAAAAAUGUAAAAAAGCAACAAAGCAAGAGAAAGUAAAUGUGAAACACUGAAUGAAUAGUAUGAAACUUGUGCAUGUGAAGACAGAAUGGUCAAAAUAUACAGAGUUCAAAUUUUGGAUUAUAGCUUCUUGUUCUUUGUUUUUCCCUUUCCAAUUUUUUUUUUUUUUUUUUUUUGGUUUGAAGAUUAUCCUUUCCAUUUUUGUCUUUUGACCUUUACAUAAAAAAAAAAACCUCUAUUAUUACCCAAAAUUUUUCUUUAUUAAUUUUUAACACCUAACUCUUAUAAAGGGAUAAAUAUAUCACUCCAUCUAAUAUUACGCCAUGUGUACUUUACUAUAGUGCUAAGGUCGUGAUUAGACUUGAAUUAUUGCUUAUGAUGAUCCAGAAUACUCUAAAAGUUUGACUAGGAAAAUAAAGUUUGUAAUGAAGAUUAAGGCGUUAUAAUGUCUAGAUGAACCAUAUAUGAGAUUUUAAAUGUAUGUGUUUUAGUUGUUUUAAUCUAACAUUUGUUAAGAUAAGAAUAUGAUUUUAGUCGACUAAAUAUUAAAUGAGUCAACUACUUAAUAUUAAUGAACCGAUUGAAAAAUUUAUGUCAAAGGUACAAUUACUUAUCUUGAAAAGGUAUGUGCCACUUAUAAUUUAUACAAAAAAAGAGACGUCGAUCUAUCUCUUUCGAUCUCAUAACUCUCUCGACAACUUCUAACCCUUAAAACAGUUCAAACUUUUGAAGCCCAAAACAAUUACUCUCUUUAUCAACUAGGUUUUAUUCAAUUUACUCAACCAUUCAAUAUCCUAUCCAACAGUCUUAUAUGCUCCACGUAAAAAAAAAUUACGUAAAUAUUAUAUGGGAAUUUUGUGUUUAAUAAUAAGGAAGAAAACAGAGCAAUAGGAAACAACAGGAAUACAUUUAAUAUAAUAUGGGAAAGUCUAUUCGAGGAAAAGUCAGAAAAGGAACAAUAGAAGAGAAAAGCAUUGCUUAUGUUUAUGAGAGGUUUUAGACAUUUACCUAAACAACAAGAAAUGUCAAUUUUAUCACGCGAUUCUCCCCAAAGGUUUUCUUUUUCUUUUUGUCAAUUUUUUUUCCACACUCUUCUUCUCAAGCCCCAACGAAAAUUUCAAAUUUUGAAUCUCUUUCUAAAUAUUUUUUGAAAGAAAAAAAAAACACAAUGCUCCUCUAACGUAUAGUUAGAAUUUGAAUGGACAAGUGCUAUACUUCACAUAUUCGUUGGACAUUAAAAUUUUUUAGUAAUUUACUAUUUAAUUUAUAUAAUAUAAAAUAUUUUAAUUGCACUCCGAGGUUUAGUCUGGUGGAAAGUGCAUCCUUGUAGCCUUAAGAGGUCUAAAGUUCGACUCCCCCAACCCCCUAUUUCAAAAAAAAAAAAAUUUUAAUUUUAAAAAAAUAUAUUACAACGUCUUUAAAAUAUUAAAAAAAUUCAUUAAUAAAUCAUUUAUUAAUUUUAAGUAUUAGAUAUUUCACUAUUUAAUUUUUAUAAUUUGAAAAUAUAUAUUAAUUAAUCUCUCAAUUUAUAAAUAAAAAAAAUUAUUUUUUAAUUUUUAAAAUAUAGUGUAAUUAACAGAUUCGUCUCUUUAUUUUUAGAAUUUAACACUUUUGUUACUGAAGUUUAAUUCCGUCAAAAUUCGAUAUUUUUCCGUCAAAAUUUUUUGUUAAAUCAAUGAUUUUAACUUGGUUAAAUGAAAGAAAAUAAAUAUAAUCUUAAAAAUAUCAUUAUUAAUAGUAAAAUUAAAAAAAUUACUAUUUAGUCUCUAUAAUAUGAAAAAUUUUACUAUUUAGUCCUUCAAUUUUGAAAAAUAUAUUAAAAUGUCACUGACAUUUUAAAAAAUUUAUUAGUUAGUACUUCUAUUAAUUUUAUCAUUAAAUAUUUUACUAUUUAGUCUCUAUAAUUUAGAAAAAAAUUAUUAGUUGGUCUAUCAAAUUAUUAAAAUGUUUACUAAUUAGUCCCUCCAUAUAGGAGUAUUUUAGAAUUUUUUUUAUAAUACUUAAUGACUAAAAUUAAUUAAAAGAUUAACUAAUAGACUUUUUAAAAUAUUAGAAAUGUUUUAAUGCAUUUUUCAAAUGGCGAGCAGUGAUGGACAACGAACAACAUCACAAAAAUAAUUUCUAUUGAGUUUUAACUUUUUAUUUUUAAUAAUUUAAAUUUUAUAUAUUUUAUUUUUAUUAUCUUUUCUUGAAUUUGAAUAUUAAAUUUAUUAAAUUUUUUAUUUAUUUAUAGAUAUUGAAUUUGAGAGGAAAUUAAAUUUCAGGGACUAAAGUAUUGAAUUUAAAAAAUAGAAGGACAAAUCUGUUAAUUAUGUAAUAUCUUAGGGACAAAAAUAUAUUUUUUUCCUUCAAUUUUUUGAGAGAGAAAACUAUAAAUUUGGAAAAAUUAAAUUUCAGAGACUAAAGUGUUGGGUUUUAGAAAGGUAGUUCGGUUAUUUUUAUUCUCACUAACGGCAUUUUUUACGGAGAGACCCCUAAUUUUGAUGGAAUUAAAUUUCAUGUACGAAAGUGUUGGAUUCUAAAAAUGGAGAGACAAAUAAAUUAAUUAUGCUAUAUCUCAGAGACUAAAAAAUAAUUUUUCUUUAUAAAAAAAAAAGUAAAUAUACAUUAAUUUGAAGUUGAAAGUAUAUAAUUGGAUUUGUUAAUUCAUAAUAAAUAUAAAUCAACUUAAUUUCUAAAACAUAUUUUUUUGUGAGAGUUAUAAAAAAGGAAUAUUACUCCCUAAUCUCCAUUUUGCAACUCAUAUCAUACUAUUCUUUGAAAAGAAAUAACAGUUCUUUCGAGACUGACCGUUCGAAUUCGCUGAAUUUUAAUAAAAUUUAUAAUUUAGAUCUUGUCAUUUUAAUUGAAAAAUAAUUCAGUUUUUAAAAUUUUAUUUUAUUAAUUCUAUUAAAAUUCAUUAUUAGAUGUAAUAAUUUAAUUUUUUAUAAUAAUUUAAUUCUUUCAAUUUUAAUAAUUUAUAAUAAUAUAAUUCUUAUAGUUUUAAUAUUUAUAAUAAUUUAAUUUUUUUUAAUUUGAGUUGAUUUUUUUAAUUAAUAAUUGACUAACAAAAAAAUUAACAGAAAGACUAUUUUAUUAAUAAAAUAAAAAUUCAAAAAUUAAAUUCUUUACCAUUAAAGAGGUAGAAACUAAAUUGUGAAUUUUACUAAAUUUUAGGGAUUAUAUUGUAAAUUAUUAAAAAAAUCAUAAAAAAAUUGAAAAGUUUUGCAUUCAAAUUCUAGCUAGCAAUCUCUUUUGUCCUCAUAAAAUUUCAAUAUAUAUAAUAAAAAUAUAAAUCAUAUUUUAAGAUUGAGUUAAGUAACUUCUAAAAUAUGAAAUUACACUAAGGUUAUUUUGGUCAUUUCAAUUAAUUUUUAACGAAAAAGAGAGUAAUAGUGGAUGUAAGGACUGAUUUGUUAACGGUUUGAUUAUGUAAAAACGUUUUAAUAGGUUUCUAAAAAUACUGGAACUGAUUUGUUAAUAAUGACAAUAUCCAGGAACUAAAUUAUAAAUCUCCCUUUUCUCUAUAAUUAGAUUCUUGUCGAGUUCGAAUUUUGAAUAUAAAAUAUUUUUAAAAAUUUAAAGAAAGAACGCUUUACUUCUUAAUGAAUGUGUGUUCGGUGUGAAUCUAAAUUAAUUAAAUCUAAAUUAAUCGAAUUAGUAAAUUUUAGAUAUCGAGAUAAUUUAUAAAAAACGGAUUGAGUUAGGCAAAUGAAAUUAUAUGGCAAUGUUCUCUAACAUGAAUUCAUGUGAAGACUGAAGCCCUUAAAAAAGUGGUCCAUUCUGGAAGUCAAUUCAAUAUUUGGUCCCAUUAAUUAAAAUUGGAUUAUAAAUAUUAGUUCUGGUUUGGUUUGGAGAUUUGGACAAACUCACAUCUCUACUUAUGAAAUUGUCGGCAAUUGAAUCUGUAAUUAAUAUUUAUUGGCUAAUAGCUCUGAUUUUUUAUGCCAAGAGAAUCUUUUUUUUAUUUUUAUAUUUCUCAAAUUAUUUAAUUUUUGGACUUCAAAUUUGGAAUUAUAAUAUAUAGGAUAAAGCCAAAUUCAACAUCACUUUUAUUUUGUUCACUUGGCUUAUCACAGAUUCUGAAAAUGGUGGCUUCAGAAUUAUUUGUCCAUAUUUUAAAAUUAUUUAAUUAAAAUUUUAAAUUUUAUAAAAUUUAAUUUUUUAAUUAUUUAUAUUAUUUAGUACAUAUAAAUUUAAUUAUAUAUUAUUUAUUCUUAUAAUUUUAAAUAUUUAUGCCAUUUAGGUUUUAUAAUUAAACUAAAAUAAAUUCACUAAUAAUUUUUUUCUAUAAAAAAUUAAAGAGUUUAACUUUAAAAAAUAUAUAAACACUUUGAUCGAAUAAUUUUGAAAUGGAGAUAAAUCAGUGAAGUUAAAUUAAAAUAAACCUAAAAUUUUAAAUUAAAAAUUUAAAAGUUAAUAAUAAAUUAUAAUAUAAUUUUUAAAAUUUCAUUUAAUUAAUAAAAUAAUUUUAAAAUAAAUAUUUUAUUUCAAUAAUUUCCAUCAAUUUUAUUACUUACUUACUAUUUACCCUUUUAUAUAUAUAAAUAUAAAUAAGAAGAGUAAUGAAAAUUUGAAAUUUGAAACAAAAUAAAAUUUUAUAAAUUAAAGCGUAUAAUACUUUAUUUUAUUUAAUAUUAUUAGUAUGAAAUAGAGUUUUAUAUAUAUAAAUAAUAUAUAGAUAUAAUGUAAUAGUGUUGAGUAUUAACAUUUAAUAAAAUAUUUUAAUAUAUAAUAUUUAUAUAUGAUACUUUAUAUUAUAAGAAUUUAUUUAUAAUAAAUAUUUAUUAUAUAUAAUAUAUUUUUUAUUAUAUAUAAUAAUAUAAAAUAUAUUUAUUUUCAAUAAAAUUUAAAUUGAAUAAUUAUAUGUUUUAUUUUAAAAAAUUUUAAGAAUUAUAUUGCAGUGUAGCAAUUGACUUUCCAAAAUUCAAUUUAAUUUUUUUAAAAAUAUUUUAUUUUAUUAUUUAAAAUUUAAAUUUUAAGAUAUAAAUAUGAAUUAUUAGAUUUUUUAUAGAAACUAUUAUUAGGAUAUGUAUUAUAGAUAGUAAAACAGAUAAAAUUACUAAUGUUACAUAACAAUAACUCAAAAUAGGGUAUGAGUUAUUGAUAUCCCUUAUCAAAUAGCCGACCACAUCAUUGUCGGAUUACCAAGAUAUAUUAUAUUUGUCUUCAUCUUCUUACAGUAUAAAAGGAGAAGGAUCAUAGAGGCAAAUAUACGUUAUUCUCUUACACUACUCAAAUUUUAAACAAUUCAUUGCAUUGGCCUCCUUCUUCAUUAUAUUGACUUGAGUAUUGGAGUGGCUGCCGUGAACACUCACCAUCUCACAUUCUCUUUCUUGCAGGUCUAGCCAAUCACAGCACAACUAUGUUUUCCAAGUACAUCAUUUGGUUUCGCUGCCUGGAGAUCCAUUGAAUUCUUCUUGUUCAUUUGGAUUACGAUCGAUCUCCUGCUCCUUUUUCUCUGAAAGGGGAUUUCUUCUUUUCUUGAAAUGGUCAGAGUCAUACAUGUCAUUAUAGGAGGACCUGACAAAGGUAAAGGGAAAAAUAUGCGCGUAAGAGAAUAUAUCCUAUCAGUCGAACAAGAACAUUAGGCCAAGUAGGAAGUAAGAUUCAGUCCUGCAAACAAAGCGAUUGGAUUCUUUCAAAAUGACCCGCUGAUUGUCAAGAUUCUCCUAAAUAGGUACGAGGUAAGGCGAGCAUUGGUGGAUACAGGUAGUUCUGUCAACCUCCAUAUUUUAAAUGUUUUUAAUAAGUUAGGUCUGGAUAAAAAUAACCUUGUCAGAGUUUUCCAUCCGUUAGUAGGAUUAGGAGAUAAGACCGAGGCAGUGCUAGGCACCAUCAACCUUCCCCUGGUACUGGGUGACAAAAAAUAUAGGUGAGAAUUGUAUGCAAAGUUUACGGUGGUAGAUAUCCCAUUUGCGUAUAAUGUGAUACUCGGCCACUCAGUCCUAAGUUGCCACGAUAUUGUUAUUAAUAUGAGUGCUAUAUGUCUUAAGUUACCAGCUCCAGGGGGAAUAGUCGUGGUUUGAGGCAAUCCAAGAUUGGCCAAAGAAAGUUAUGGACACCUAGCAAAAAGUCUCGGAAAAGCAACAAUGCCCAUAGACUUACUAGAGGAAUUGAAAUCCCACGUAAAGGUAGAGCUGGCAGACUUGGUAGAGAAGGUUUAGAUAGGUAAGGAACAAAAGGUACGGUUCGGUACUGCAUUAACUGGCAAAACAAAGACUCGUUUAAUAGAGUUGCUAAAGAACCGAGUAACCACUUUCUCUUGGUCUUCAAAAGAUAUAACAGGUGUAGACCCGACUCUCUUCACCCGUAAGUUAUCUAUUGACAAAACCUUCAAACCAGUCCAACAAAAGAAAAGAAAGUUUGCAGCAGAGAGGUAACAAGUGAUAAAAGAAGAGGUUGAUAAACUUUUGAGUGCAUGAUUAAUAAAGGAGGUCCAAUAUCUACAUGGCUCACCAGUAGAGUCCUGGUAAAGAAAGCUAAUAGAAAGUGGAGAAUGUGUGUGGAUUUUAUUGACCUGAAUAAAGCAUGUCCAAAAGAUUAUUACUUGUUGCCAUCUAUCGACAGGUUAGUAGACUCGACAUCGGGUCAUGCAGUGGUUUUCUUCUUUGAUGCUAUUUCAGAUUAUCACCAAAUCAUGAUGGACACUGAAGACACAGAGAAGACUAUGUCCAUAAUAGACGAAGGAGUUUACUACUACAAAGUAAUGCCUUUCGAAUUAAAAAAACGUGAGGCGACUUAUCACAGGCUGGUAUCAGAAAUCUUUAAAGAUAUGAUGGGGUCAACAGUCGAAGUAUACGUGGAUGACAUGGUAGUAAAGAAGUGAUCAUUGAAAGAUCAUCCAGAAGAUAUCCAGAAAGUCUUUGGCAUAUUGGACAAGGUGGGUAUGAAGCUAAACCCUGAACCCUGAAAAAUGUACCUUUGAGGUAAAAUCUGGGAAGUUUCUAAGGUAUAUAAUCUCAGAAAGAGGUAUAGAGGCAAACCCUGAGAAGAUCAAUGCCAUCUAAAACAUGGAAGCACCCAAAACUAUUAAUGAAGUACAAAGGUUGAAUCGGCGAGUCACUAUCCUAGGACGGUUCAUAUCGUGCUAAGCCAGAUGAUGUCUCCCAUUCUUCAAAACUUUAAAAGGCAAAGGUAAGUUUGUGUGGGGGAAGAACGUGUAGAGGCCAUGCCUUGCAGGUCAUCGAUAUACUUAUUGAGCUCCUACUAAGGAUAGUAGCGCGAGCUAAAGCCUCGUCGCAUUGAGCUUAGGCCUUAUCAAUCUGACGGCGAGUCUCCUCCAGAGUAGACAACUACACAAGGGUUUCAACUCAUUGAGAUUCCGCCACAGAAGCCCACUGAGACGACCUGGAAACCUCUCUUGUAGCUCCCCGUGCUGCUUAGUGAGGUCUUUAAUUUGCCUUUUGAACUCAAUAAUAUGUCCAUGGGCCUCACCUUAGCAAUCAGAUUUUCAUCCCAGCGUGCCUCCUCAAUACGCCAAUCCAUUGAGCUCUGGAGAUAUCAAUUUCGGGCAUCGAUCUUUAUGAACAUGCCAAAGGACUGCCACAACACUACUAAGAAGGACAAACAAUUUACCAUGAGGAAUAUCUCUCUUAGACCAUUCCCAAAGGCCUCUAGGGAACGUGAACUGAAGGUUGCCUGCUGUGUAAUGGCACAGGCCAAAUGGCUAACAAGGGCCAGAAAGCAGAGGUCAGAAGCAUACGGGACUCCCCCAAACAUCCUACCACAUAGCAUCUUAGCCACGGAGGCUGGCAUCGACUCAGUAGUCACCUCAGUAGCAUUUAGUAACUCAUUAUUCGGGGCAGAAGACAAGUUCUCCAUCACCUUUUUCCCCUAUCAACGAGAGGAGAAGGGGCUGCCCCUGAGGGUUUUGAAGUCCUAGCAUGUUUAGCAGCCCUUCUCUCGAUGGCAAUGGCACCCAUAGCUCUGAUGGGAUGGACGUCCAAGGGAGUAGACCUGGUGUCCUCUUUUGAGUUGCUCUCUGCUGACUUGUUAACCAAGAUAGGCUCCUUGGGAACCCCCUUUUGAGCAGGGGGAGCCUCAAAAGAAGUCAGCGCCUUGGGAGGGACCGAUGUCUUAGAGGCCACAGAAUGAGGACCUCCUGACACUAGCACCAAAGCCAAGGAGGGUGUGGGAGCAUGACUAAAGGGGCGAGCUGAUGAUACGAGAGUUACGACCUGGAAAACCUCCCUAGUCACAUCGGUGACAAACUUGUUGACCUUGAAAGCGGUCAAAGUCUUCUUUAUGCUCUCUCUAGAUAAGGUGAAGUUCUUGGGGAGCUUAAUAAUACCCAUUGGCAUGUCGGAAGCUGAAAUGGAAAGAUUAGUUCUAUUAGAGCUCAAAAUAACAAACGAAGAAUAUAAAGGGAAAAAAUUCAAAAGGUAUCGGCUUCCUAGCAAUCCCGAAGUUUAGACAUGUAUACACAUUUCUCGACUUCAUAUUUCUUUCUUACAGAGGUUAGUUGAAUAAGGCAGAUUUGAUUUAUUAGGGUUAAUCUAGGGAACUCAUUACAGCUCUAAGGAAUCUCCCCCUAGGAAAGGUUAAUAUUCCAAUUAAUCCCUGAGCUCUUCUUCAACUCGAUGACAACAAACUAUUCUGCCCAACCCUUAAUGGAAUCCUUAUACCCCGUAAAUAUUGAUAACCCAACUCAGGGACCAAAAUACUAGAACCUGUAGUUAGAUCUAACAAAACAGAAGAAGGUAUAGAACAACUCGAGGGAAAGGGCAAAACUCCAACACAAGCAAAUAUACUCAAAAUAGCACAUAAACAAGAUGGAGUUGGGAGAUAACAUUCGAGGGUCACUCUAAAGUGACAAAAGACCUCGAUGAAAAAGGGAGUAAACGGAAAAGUAAGACCAAACUCGUGCUGCUUCACAAAGAAGACCAAAUUACGCCCUUAUUGAGCAUCUAUCAAGCCUAUCGGUAGUGGGUUAAGGAGAACUAUAUGCUCAUUAGGCAAGGGAGCCCUAAUUUUGAAAAUUAUGAUGUCAGCAAGGUCGCGAGAAAAAUAGUGGGAAAAAGAAGAGGGAUGACAGAAGAUACUAGACCGACCACCUCAGAAAUCCAAGUAGAAGUUAUGAGAGGAGCGAGGCAUACCUCGGAUUGAAAAAUCAGAGAUUAUAAAGAAGGAAAAGAGCAAGAUAGCAAAUGCAGCGAGUGAAAGCAAAAGUACAAGUUUGAAAUGGAAAAAAGUAGAGAAAGUACGUUUUGAUAGAAUUUUUCUAGAGCCGCACGGUAAUAAUUGGAAUCUCGAAUUUACCUUCUCAUAAAUCAUGAAAUAAUUAAUAACUGGGCAACUGGGCACUUGAUGACAACCGGAUUCCAAACGCCCGCACCUCGGUGAAGCCCAAACUAGAAAGACUGGGCUAAGCCCCCAAGAGGGCCCAAUGUAUGACUCUACACCCCAUGCAAGCCCAAGACUUAUCCAGACAGGCCAGGCUAGGCGCAAAUAUGCCCGUGGGGCCCUACUCUCGAAUAUCUGUGAGCCCUAUGGAACAACAGACCCCAUAAUACUCGUGAUCGUAUUCAAGUGACGCCAGAUUAAAUUAAAUGGCUAUCUGACAGUAGAAAAAAAUACAGUACAUUCGUAUUAUGGCCAACGUGAAUAUGAUAGAAGGAUACGAGUAUAGAGUGACAGUUACACGUUACUAAAGAAUAAAAGAGAAAAGGAAUAAAAGAAAACGAGAAAGAGAGACAAACCAAAUUUAUAAAAAUGUACUCCGAGCCUAUACCCAUUUUGGAAUCUCACAUAUCAGGUAUUUUUCAUAAUAGAGUGUAUCUUUCCUACUCAAACAAAUGAUCUUAGAUGGUGCUACGUUGGGGAGAUGUUAUUGCACUACUAUGUUAUGUUUUCCUUGUCUCCUCUUCUGUUCGUUUGCCCAUUCUAGAUUAGAUUUUUCCUUGCUUAGGGUUUGAGCCUCAUUUAUUAUUUAGGCUAAGUGAGUUAGUAUUGUAAUCAUCUUAAUAUCCGGGCUUUAGGGUUUAGAUGGAUUCAAGUACAAAAAUUUAUAUAUCCAUCAUGAAUUUUGAUUGGUUGUGGUUUCGAUACUUGGAUAUCCGCUAUCUAAAUUAAUUUAUAAUUAAUUUUAAUUUUUUACUUGAAAUUUGUGGUUGAAUUUUAAUUUUUUUAAUUUAUUGUUUAUUUGGCAUUUUGCUUGGUGUAAUAUCAAGAAUUUUAAUUAUGAUUAUAUUAAAUUUGAGUUAUAAUUCUGUGUUUUAUUUAUUUAAAUUUUAUGAAAUUUAGUAUAAUUAGUAUUUUAUGAUUAGCUUUAUUUAUAUUCUUUUAUAAUUUAUUUUAUAAAAUUAACUUGUGAAAUUGAAUUGUAGUAUUUAUUUUAAAACCUGUAAUUUCUAACCAUUGUUGUUUUUAAUAUUUUGAAUUUAGGCUUGGACAUCCGAUAAAAAUAGCAUAUAUGCAUUAUAAUAUAAAGAUAAUUAAAUUCAAAUUAGGGCAAAUACACUAAACUAGAAUUGAGUUUAAUCAAAUUAUUAUUAAUAAUAAAUUUACUUUUUCGCAAUAAUUUAAUUAAUAUGAAUUUCAAAAUAAAUUAAUAUAACUGCUUAUCUUAUUUUAUAGUUGGCCGUUUAUCUAUCCAGUCCGGGUUUUUUUUUUUUUUUUCUUUUACUUAAUGAGACUUAUGAUUUUUUAACUUAAUUUUAUGUUUUAAUAUAUUAAUUUUUUUUAAAAAAAAUUAUGCUUGAAAUGUAUUUUAAAUUUUUUAAAAAAGUAACAAAAAAUUACCUUUAAUUCAAAGGUUUUGGUUAAUUCACAUUUAUAAUUUAUAUUUUAAAUUUUAAAUUUUAAAUAAUUAAAUUAAACUUUUAAAUUUAUUACAAUUUUAUCUAUAAAUCUAAAUUAAUUUUGAUCAAAAUAUGAGAUUGUCAACCUUAUUAUUCUAUUUGAUAUUUUUAUUAUUUUUAAAUUUAUAUUUUAAAUUAUUGACUACAAGAAUCAAAAUAUUUUUUUAUUGAUUUACAUCUAUAUUUAAAUUUUCUUAAUUUAUUGAAUAAAUUAAUUUAUGUUUUUUAAGAAAUUCAUAUUUAUAUUUUAAUAUUUUACUAUUAAAUAGUUGGAAAAUUAAUCAUUAAGAUAUCCAAAACAUCAAUGAUCAGUUAAGGUAUCCACAGAAAAAAAAAAUUAAUAAUUCUUUUUUCAGUUUUGAUGUAAUAGAAUGAUAGAAUUUAAAUAAAAUAUUUAAUAAAUGAGACUAGUUUGAAAAAAAAAUAUAAAAAAAUAACGAUUUUAUUUUUAAAAUUGAUAUUUCUUAUCUAUUAUUAUUUAUUAUUAUUAUUAUUGUCACUAUGUUUUUUAAAUUUUAUUAUCUCUCUUGUAACUGAAUUAUAAAAGAUUCUUUUAAGAUUUAAAUAUUAAAAUAUAAAUAUGAAUUUAUAAAAAAUUUUGAACGAUUUUAUUUAAUAAAUAAAAAUAUUGUGAUAUAAAUAUAAAGUUAUAAAAAAAUUUUAAAUUCUUUCAUUUAGCAGAUUAAAAAUAAUAAGAAAAUCACGUUGAAAUGAAAAUUGGCAUUUUUAAAAAAUUUUAAAUAUUUAGUAUAAUUAUAUAAAAUUAAAAAUUAAAAAUAUAAAUUGAUGUACGCACAACCAACAAUACCAAAAAUGAUAAACUAGUAUUGUCUCGAGAACCAAUUACAAGGUUGAGAUCCAAGAGGACGAAGAAAGUAUUUCAAGGAUUCAUGAAGGGAUAUGUUGAAGCUUUGCAAGUUCAUUUUGAAGUUGAAGAACAAUCUGACUAUUCAAAAUCAAUUAGGCCGAAUGUGUCCUUAUUGACUGUUCAAAUUUUGUAUUUGCAUUAUCACUAAUUGGGUAGUUAUCCAGUAGUGGGCAGUUAUCCAGUAGUGGAUAGUGGCAUAGAUCAUGAUCUAUGGAUAGUAGUGGGUAGUGGCAUAGAUAAUGGAUUCAUGUAUAGUAGUGGGAAGUGACAAAAAUCAUGGGUCUUUAUUUACGUUUUUACUUACUUAUUUAUUUAUUUUUAAUUAGGUUAGGCUCUCCUAGAGUAUAUAAAGCAUUUCUUUUUCCAUAUUGAAGACAGAUUAUCAAUUAUUUAAUAUAAUUACUUUACACGAUUUUUCUUUGAGAGCUCAAGAGAGAUUUUGGUUCUUGACAUUGCAUCACGAAUAAGGUUUGAUACUAACUUGUAUGAUUUUUAUUCUUACUACUCUUAAAAUCAAUCAGUUAUAAGUGUUCUUAAUUGCAUGUUAAUUAAGGAUGCUUUAGAUUGGGAAAUUAUUUUCUGAACUAAGUUCUUUUUACUAGGGUAUGUGUCGUUUCAGUCUCUAAUAGGCUGAGGUUCCGCAUCAAUAUCGCAUUCAGGAAGGUUAAUGAGACAUUUUGAUGUGCAAAAGACUUUAGACAUGUUGAAUGAACACUUUUAUUGGCCUAAUAUGCGAAAAUAUGUAGAGAAAAUUUGUGUUCAAUGCUUUGCAUGUAAACAUGCUAAAUUUAAGUUCUUGCCACAUGGGUUGUAUACUUCUUUGCCUGUACCUACUAAACCUUGGACUGAUAUCUCUAUGGAUUUUGUGAUAGGUUUACCUAGGACAAAAAGAGGUAGAGAUUCAGUGUUUGUUAUUGUAGAUCGCUUUAGCAAGAUGGAACAUUUUAUUCAAUGUCAUAAAACUGAUGAUGCAACGAACAUAGCUGAUGUGUUUUUCAGGGAAGUAGUUCGUUUGCAUGGUAUACCUAGAACUAUUGUUUCUGAUAGAGAUUCUAAGUUUCUUAGUCAUUUGUACUAAAUUUUUAUUUUCUACUAUUUAUCAUCCACAAACAGAUGACCAAACUGAAGUUGCUAAUAGGACAUUAGGAACUAUGCUUCGAGCUAUUGAGGGUAGAAACUUGAAAACUUGGAAAGAAUGUUUGCCAUAUGUUGAAUUUGCUUAUAAUCGCACUGUCCGUUUUUCUACUGGUUAUUCACCUUUUAAGAUUGUGUAUGGUUUUAAUCCAUUAACAGUAGUAGAUUUAAUGCCUUUACCUUUGAACGAGUUGUCUAAUUUAGAUGGAAAAGUAAAGGCUGAAAUGGUUAAAUCAAUACACAUGGUCAAUAAGGGUCGCAAGAAAGUUGUAUUUAAACCAGUUGAUUGGGUUUGGAUCCAUAUGUGAAAGGAGAGGUUUCUGAAUCAAAGAAAAUCAAAACUCGAUGCACGAGGGGAUGGACCAUAUCAAGUGCUGGAACGGAUCAAUGACAACGCAUACAUAAUUGAUCUACCAGGUGAGUUUGGUGUAAGUGCUAUCUUUAAUGUUUCUGAUUUGUCUCCUUUUGAUUUGGUGCAUAUUCGAGGAUGAAUCCUUCUCAAGAGGGAGGGGAUGAUAUAAGUACAACCAACAAUAUCAAAAAUGAUGAGUUAGCAUUGUCUCAAGGACCAAGUACAAGGUUGAGAUUCAAGAGGAUGAAGGAAGCACUUCAAGGAUUCAUGAAGGGAUAUAUUGAAACUUUACAAGUUCAUUUUGAAGUUAAAAAACAAUCUAACCAUUCAAAGUCAAUUAGGCCGAAUGUGUCCUUGUUGACGGUUCAAAUUUUGUAUUUGCAUUAACAGAUUCCCUAUCACUAAUUUAAUAGUGUGUAGUUAUUUAGUAGUGGGUAGUUAACCAGUAGUGGGUAGUUAUUUAGUAGUGGGUAGUUAUCCAGUAGUGGAUAGUGGCAUAGAUCAUGAAUCCAGUGGGUAGUGGCAUAGAUCAUGGGUUCAUGCAUAAUAAUAGGAAGUGGCAAAUAUCAUGGAUCUUUAUUUAGAUUUUUACUUAUUUAUUUAUUUUUAAUUAGACUAGGCUGCCCUAGGGUGUAUAAAACAUUUUUUUUCCAUAUUGUAGACAAAUUAUCAAUUAUUCAAUAUAAUUACUUUGCACGAUUCUUUUUUGAGAGUUUAAGAGAGAUCUUGGUUUUUGAUAUUGUAUCAUGAAUAAAGUUUGAUGCUAACUUGUAUGGUUCUUAUUCUUGCUACUCUUAAAAUCAAUCAGUUAUAAGUAGGGGUGAGCAAUCGGUCGGUUCGGUUCAAAACCGAACCGAACCGAAUAAACCAAAAAUUGAAAUUUUAGUGUUUAUAAAAAUCGAACCGAACAGAUUUUGGUCAGAAACCAAAUUGAACCGAACCGGUCUGAUUCGGUUCGAUUCGGUUCGAUUUGAUCGGUUUCAAUUUUUAAUAAUUUUUUUAUUUUUUACACUUUAUUUUUAAUAUUUUAAAAUUUAAUUAAAAUAUUUUAAUUUUAAUAUGAUUUAAUUUCUCUAUAUUAUUGAAAAAACAUAUUAUUAUCACUAAUCGGUUCGAUUCGGUUUUUUCGGUUUUUUUUUUUAUCAAAAUCAAACCGAACCGAAAUAACUGAAAUUUCUGAAAUUAAAAACCGAACCGAACCGAAAUGUAUAAAAACAGAACUAAAUUUUUAAAUCGAUUCGAUUCGGUCGGUUUUUUCGGUUUGAACCGAAUACUGCUCACCCCUAGUUAUAAGUGUUCUUAAUUGUAUGUUAAUUAAUAGUAUUUUAAAUUGAGAAAUUAUUUUCUGAACUAAGUUUUUUUUACUAGGAUAUAUGUCGUUUCAGUUUCUAAUAGGCUACGGUAUAGCAUCAUAAAUAUAAAUUGAGAAUAAGAUUUGGAUUAUUUGAGUUAAUAGCGAAUUUAAAAUCUAUGCACGAAAUUGUUAACUAUAAAAAAUGAUAAUUUUUUUUGUUAAUUUUGCAUAACCUAGACCGAUUUACCCUGACUGCAUCAAAAGAGAAAAAAAAAAAAAUUUUACCCUAACAUUUUGGUCUACUACGUCGUUUCAGCAAACCCUUUCUUUCACAAAUAAACCUAAACCCUCGGGCCCCAAAUUUCUCUUUUUCCAUUUUGUUGCAGCUGCCUUUCGUUCACAAAUCGAGAAGACAUACACCACACGCUCACCCACUAUUCUGAAUCUAUCGGUCCUCAAGCUCACUGCUACUCCUUCACGCGUUCACGCGUCGCCACUUCUCAGCCUCGCGGCUCCUUUACAGGUGAGUAAUUUUCGUUUUCCUCAUCGUUAUCCCUUUUUCCAUUCUGUCGCAAACACAUGAUGAGCGAUGAUAGUCCAAUGCAAAUCGUUUCCACUUUCAUUUUCUCUGUUCAUAGCAGCAGCGUAGAUCGUAGAAUUUUAACCCAGAAACUCUUCGCUAUGAAGAUUUAAGAAUUUAGAGUAAAAGGAUGUAUUAGAUUAGACCGUUAAACAUAUUUAUAUAGUUUUCUUUAACUAAACAAGUGGCUUUGCAGUAUCAGGAAAACAUAUGGGGAGAAUGAUUUUGCAAUAACAGAUUUAAAUUUCUUUUAUUUACAUUUCAAAAAAAAAAAAAAAUUGCGUUAUGGAUUCGACUAUUUGCAGAUUAUAUUCAUGUCCUUUGCAGUCACAUGAUUGCAUUACAGAUUCUUCUAUUCACAUCAUUUGCUAUGCUUAACUUAGGAUUUUUCUGUUAUUGUUUGUAUUUAGGGUAUAUGAUUGCUUUUGCUUAACAAGUGGGUUUGCAAUUAAUGGGGUUGCAGUCACUUCUUUUUCAAGCAUGUUUUGUUUAUAUUGUUUAUUUAAAUUACAUAAACUUUGGUAGGGUUGUGAAUGAACCAAGCUCAUUCUAGCUUUGAAGAGCUCAAGUUUGGUGGCUCAAUUUUUUCAAGUUUGAGCAGAACUCGAGUUUAACUCAUUUUAAACUCGAGCUGAAUGUUAAUAAGCUCAAGCUUGUUUGGUUUAGGAAAUGAGCCAAGACAAACCAAGCUUAUUGAACCAAAUUUUGGAUAGCUCACAAGCUGCUAGACUCAUUUAUAAGCCUAAUGAGUUUUAGGUUAAAUAUUUAUAUGGAUAGUAAUAAUCAGAUUUGCUGUGGGUUCAAGUAAUUAAAUAUUUAUUUUAAUCAGACUUGGGACAGAUUUCCCCUGGUUUAUGUACUUCACAGGGUUAGGCAUUGGACAUUUUAGCAUUCAUGGAUACCCUUCUAAUUGUGAUCCCAAUCCCUCAGUCCCUCUUCCAAUAUCAACCUUCUUUUUCUUUCCUGCUUCUCUCUACUGCUGCCUGCUGUGCUUUCUGAAACAAAUUUACUCUCAUCUGAUUAGCUUUCAGCUAUUAGAGGUAAUCUGUGUAUCAUGAAGCUGAUUAGCUUUCAGUUGUUAGAGAUAAUCCAUAUGAUUAUUAAUCUGAUUAGCUUUUCACUUUUCAAUCUUUCUUAGUUUAAUGUUUUUUUUUUCUUUCGUUUCAUCUUCUUGAAUACUUAAUUUUGCUUUGAAUUUGAUUUCCAUUGAAGUUCUUGUUAAUUAGAUCAAUUUGUUAUGUUAAUGGAAAUUGAUUUGGUCGUUGCCACUGUGUUGUGGUCUUCAUGCAUUUGAUUUGCUCUGCUGUGUUUUUUUUUCCUUUUCAUUUUCAAUUCAAAAUAUAGGUCUAAUUCAAGAUUGGUUCAAAUUGGAUCUGCAUAUUGGUCUUGCUCAUUGAUUCAUCAUAACUUGCAGCAGACAUAAGUCAAUAUUUGUAUUAUACUAGAUCUUAAAAUAGAACUUUUGAAGGAAAUAAAUAUAAACUAGUCUGCUUAUAAGAUUUUUAAUGUGCACUCUGUGCUUGAAUUUAACUAGAUGUUCAUUAAUUUAAAUCAAACUGGCAUUUUGGCUUCACUCAUAUUUCAUUGGUUUUAACUCAAAGGUCUCUGGAUUGUAAUAAGAAGCAUCAGUGACUAAAGGUCAGUCAGUUUACUUUGAGAGGUAAAAAAGGCAUAUUAGAGUGCGACUGGACAUGCUAAGAAGGUUCAGUCGGCUUAACAAAUCUUACCCCAUCUUUGACUCCAGUGAACCUCAAUGAAAAAUCAUUUACCAUAAAGUUUCAUCAUGAUUGAGGAAUGUAGCUCUAGAUCAUGUGGCUGCUUUGUGGGAGAUCCUGCUAAUGUAUUUCGCUGAGUUUGCUUCUAUUAGAUGACAAUUUCUUGCUUCAAUAGUUCGGAAUUCUUCUUGCUGAUUUCUAUUUUUGCUCUCAUCUGAUUGGAAUUUGGAUUAUUUCCUGCUACUGUCUGCAAGGUGGUUGAUAAAAUUUUAGUCUAGCCCAUAGCCGAUGAAAAAAAGUCAAAAGGAAAAUACACAAAUACAUACGCAUGCGCGUGCGCGCGCACGCACACACAUAUAUAUAAGAGAAAAUUCUAAACAGUUCCUUGGGAAGGUUUUGGAUGUUUUGUAUCUAAUGAUUUUUGGGUUUGUGUACCCUUGAUUUUGUGGCUGUCCUAUCUGUUGACAUGUCUUGGGAUGGACAGUUGCUUAGUUCUCAAUAGUGAUUUUCUAGAGGAAAUCAUUGACAUGCAGAAUUCAACUGCAUGGUGUGUCAUGUUCAAUUCUUCUUUGUAUAUACCAUGUCCAUAACGCGGAUUUGUGUCAUCUCGCAUCAGAAGUGGAGAUUGACAUAUUUAUGUUAUUUUACGUCAUUAAGUGCAUGUGUUAAAGUCUUCAGGUUUAUCCAAUCUUCACUUGAUAGGAAUUUGGCAUGUUCUCAUCUUUUAGUUGAAAUUAGUUGCAUCCAUUAAAACUAUAUAUUUUUGCCUUUUUUUUUCUUGUUAUUUAUUUAUUCAUACCUGUUUUAAACUUCUGUCAACACCAAUAUAUCGUAAAUGCGUGAGUAACAGUCUUGUUUGGAUAUAUGCAGUUUAUUGUGGAAUCAUGGGUCGGAAAGCUGGAGCCAUGUACAUUAACCCAAAGAAAUAUGGCUCUCUAGCAAAACCUUGCAUGAAGGAAAUGAUAACUUAUCUAAAUUGCUUGUCCCUUAAUCAAGUAAAUGAUGAGAAAUGUGUUCGGCAAAAGGAACUCUUGGGUGCCUGUAUGGAAGCUCAGGUUUGAACCAUUUUUUGCAUCCUAGAUCUUUGAAUUCUCUUCAAUAUAUGUUAAAAGGGAGAAUUACUAUCAGGUUUUUGGGUUUUUAGAAAUUUCACUAGUUCAUCCUUGUUUUAAAAUCACUAAAUUAAAAUUUCACUACUUAUUUUGUAAAAUCAAACUAUUUAAUCCUUUUGUGAAAAAAAAAACCGUUAGUGACCUUAUUUUAGCCUUGCUCAGACAGACUAAAUAGUAUGAAUAUUUAAAAUUGUAGGGACUAAAUAAUACAUGUAAUUAAAGUCAUAGUGAUGAAACAAUAUUAAUAAUUCAAAGUAACUAGCGGUUUUUUAAUAGAAAGUUGGAUUUACAAAAUAAAAGGAUGUUUUGUUCGAGUGAUUUUGAAAUAGGGAUGGACUAGUUAUUUUCAUAAGAACUCAGGGACAUGAUAGUAAUUUACCCUAAUUAAUAUUUGUAGUUCUAUUGACUUUUAAGCACUUGGUAACCUUUGAUGUAAGCUAGCAUUUCCUAAAGGUUUGGACCACCAUUUUGCAGACUACCAACAAAAGAAAGUCUUGGGGAAGCAUUAAUUACCACCUUCAGAGGCUUAACCGUGGAAGGAAGUAGAUUUAACUUGGAAUCAUUAGUGAGAUUCAUGAAUUCACUAGCAAUGCACCAGAAGAAGCUGAUUGGGUAUCCUAGCACAAAAUGUUGAAAUAUCAUUUUAAUGCAUUUCUCUGUAUUCCUGAUAGAAAGUUUCGAAGAAAUUUAAUAUAUUUUCAUCUUUGUGCUGGCUUCCAUAUACCUUACAAUAAUGUGUGAUGAAGAGUUAUAUCUAUGCAAUAUUGAAGUGAAGAAUCAUCAGUUUAGGACAUUUCAUUAGUGUGUGAGGCAAAGUUUUAACUUAUUGCUUUACCGGUACAAAUCAUUGGUUUAAUGAUGUCUCAUGGUUUUGUCUAUGCUUGGUUGGUUCUCAAAAAACUUUGAACCAUGAAAAAUGUUGUUUAGUCUUUACUCAUAUGAGGAGAUAAGUGUGAUAAUUGUAAAAAUGAGGUUGCUGGACUACAAUCUAAUUUUGUUUUACCAAGGUUAUUAUCAACACACCAAUCCACUACUUUUAUAAAUUUUUGCUUCUCUUCUGAAGGCUUUUCAUGUCUGAAGCUAUGCUGUAGAUAACUGCCAGUUGCUGUGAGAACUGUGUGAUUUUUUUUUCCCUCCGUUCUGGUGCUACUGCAUUAUAUUUCUUGAGUUUUCCAACUUAUAGUUUCCAAGGAAGCAUUCUGCAUGCACAAAUACAUAUGGUCCACAAGAAAUUGAUUCCAAGUGUCAAUUAUAUAAAAUUCUUAUAAGGAGGAGGCAUCGUACAUGGCAAUUUUGCUCUGCCUAUCCUCAAUUGGCUUGAAACUGCUGAAGAAACAUAAAGGGUAGGUACCUUUUAUGAGUUGGAGAUUCACAAUUGAUGGCUUUGUGCAUGUCCCAGAAAAGCUAUAAAGCAAGAUAAUUAGAUGACAUAAUAGAGCAUCAAAUAUAUGUCAGUUUGCAUGUGCAAUUAUGAAGUAAAGUUCCUAAGAUGAAAAUUAACAUGUAGCCACUUAAUAUGUCAUCCAUUAGAGACCAUGGUAUUAAGCUUUUUGUCAGUGUAGGAGCAUGUUGCUGGUGCAGGUAGAGCCUUCUCAGGCCCUGCACUUGCAUAUACAUGCAGCUCUCACACAAGACACUAACGAAAAGUAGAUGUUUCAAUUUCUUGCAUUCCUUUGGGACCUACGUUGGCACAUCUUACAAAACAUUUCUGUUCAAUAAAGUUGAUAAAAAUUAGUCAGAAUCAACCAAUUUUUAUAUGAUCUUUGUACUUGAUUUCAUUUAUAAAUUAAACUAGGCUAUGAAAUUCCCUUCCUUCUCUUUAUGCUUUGGAUCCCUGAUAGCCAGUCAAGUGCUAAACAUCGUUCCAAAUAGGAGAGAGAGAGAGAGAGAGAGAGAGAGAGAGAGAGAAGAGGAGGCAAGUGAAAGUGUUAAGGCUGCAGAUGAGCAGGCUUUACAAGUAGAAAUCUCCACACAUGGGGAGGUUGGCUUUUGGCAUCAAAGUGAGCGAAAAGCCGUACACUUGAUUGAGGAAUUGGAUUCCCACCAUCACUUCCUUCCAUUCUUAUCUUCUUUCUGUAUUAAAGAAAGAAUACUUCAAAGCUACACCUGACGCCACAAGAAUUAUUGUACGAGUUUAGAAUACCAUCUCAAGUUGAGGUAGUGCAUGAAGCAAAUGGUAUAACAAUAAAUCAAUAAUUUUAUUAAAAAUAAAAUCUUAAUAGAUUUAAAUUUGUUUUCAACUAUUAUGUAAUUGUUUUUACUAUUUAAAUGUAAUUAUUAACAGAGUAUACUUUUCUUUUAACAAAGUAACGGUAAAAAGCCAUCACUUCUACUAUUUCUUUUCAUUUUGAAAAUGUUUUUUUUUUUAAAAAAUUAAAAACAAAUAAAUCAUAAUUUAAUUUAUAACUUCAAAAAUCAUGCUAAAGCAUACAUAAGAUUAGGGUGAACAAAAAUUUAGUUUAAUUUUUUAUUCAUUUCGAUUCGAUUUCAUUUUUAAUUUUAAAAAUUUUAAUUAUUUUCAUUUGAUUUGUUUUUAAUUAGAAAAAAAUUUAAAAAACUAAAUUGAAUUAAUUAGUGAUAAUAAUAUAUUAUUUUUGACAAUAUAGAGAUUAGACCAUAAUUAAAUUUGAAAUAUUUUUAAUUAAAUUUUAGAAUAUUAAAAAUAAGGCGUAAAAAAUAAAAAUUCAACUGAUCAGAUCAAAUCAAAUUAAAUCGAUUUGAUUCAAUUUAAUUUCUAUUUAAACGGUUUAUUUUUUACAAAUAUUAAAAUUUUAAUUUUUUUUCAAUUUUGAAUCACACUAACCAAAUAUUCAGAUCGUAUAGAACUUUAGAAUAAAUUAUCAUGGCCAACAAGUAAAAUACAAAUUCGUUAAACUUAAAUGAAAUCCUAUUAACAAAAUUAUUAGUGCAUUUUUAAAUAAAAUUUUAUAUUUUAAUUUAUAAUAUUUUUUUUUAUAUUUUCAUGUAAUUAAUAAAGUGAGAUUUUUAUCGAAUCUCAUUAAAUAUCACUUAAAAUUACAAUUUACUCUUUAAUAGUUAAUAAAAAUUAUAUUUUAAUCAAUGUAAUCUCAUUAAAUAUCACUUAUAAAUUACAAUUUACUUUUUAAUAUUUAAUAAAAAUUAUAUUUUAAUCUCUGUAUUUUUUAUUAUAGUCUAUUAAAUUUUAUUUGAUUAAUAAAAUAAUUCUUUAAUUUAAACUUUAUAUUUUAAUUAAAAUUAAUCUCCAUAUUUUUAUAGAUUGAUUCUAAAUAUUAUAAUUACUAAUAAAUCUUUAUAUUUAUAAAUUAAUCUCUUUAUUUAUUAAAUUUUAAUAUUUUACAUGUGAAAAAUAAUAAAUAAAUAUAAGAUAAAAAAAAAUUAUUAUUUUUUAUUCUAAUUAAUAAAAAAAAUCAUUUGAGAAUAGAAAAAUUAGAGUAGAGUAUAUUUGAGAGGAGAUAUGCAUGGUGUGAGAAUUCGUUGAUAAGCUCCUAGUGUGUCUUAUUUAUUAUUAGCUAAUAGCAGUUUUUUCUUUUUUAGAACUGAUAUGAAAGAACAUUGAGCUGCUAAAACCAGUGACUUAUUGCAUCACAUAUGCUUUGCUUCCACCAAUAUUAUUUUUAGAUUUUGAUAAAAAACUAUUUAGACUCUAUCAAGAGUUUCAACCAAUAUCGUUUGGCUAAGACGAAAUAAGAAAAAAUAUAGGAUAAAAAACUAAAAAUCUUAUUGAAAUUCCUCAAAGAUUAAAAGUACCUUUCGAAUAGUCAAUGAAGGCUAUUUAUAAUAGAAAUAAAACCCUAAUAUGCAAAAUUAUGAAGAUACUUAAAAUAUCUAAAAAAAUAAUUAAACUGCAAAAUUGAUCCCUAAACGAUGGAAUUUUUAUGUCGAACUUUGUGACAGGCCUACGGCCCUCAUCAAAUUUUUGAAAGUCGUGCGUCUCGAAAAUCCCUUUUCGAAAAGUUAUCGUGGAUCUCUAUCGGAUGUCGGCAGCAAAAAUUAGGUCCGGUCCAAGUCUGCCGUAAAGGUCAAGGCUAACUGCUCCAUAUCAGAUUUAGUUUAUAAAAUUGUGCUUGGACAUCAUAAAAUUUUCCGCGACAAAAACAUAUAAUGUCAUUUUUAUUUUUUUUUACUACGAUAACAGUUGAUUGAGUGGGAGAUUGAAUUUGAGUUAAAACAGAUCUUUGUGCGUUGAUAUUGUGUUAGUAAAUAAAUUUUGAGAGGAAAUAAAGAUAGAUUUUCAUUUAGCUCAUUAAUCUAUGUAUAUACAAAGCAAUUCACAUCGUUUACGUAUGUAUAUAUAUCUGUCCCAUUAAAAAUUAACUAUUUAAAAAAAUAAAUUUUAGGGUUAAAAUGAAGGUAAAAAGGGAUAUGUGAAGGGAUAUGAUAGUGAAGUGACCUUUUAUAUUUAUAUAAUAAAUGAAUAUGAAUUAUAUAUAAAAUACAAAAUUGACUUGUGAUAUGGUUUUGAAAAUUUAUUUUAAUUUUUAUUUGGAUUUGGAUGAAUCUAGGAGUUGGAUCGCUUUCAUGUUGAGAAUUAUUGAUGAAUUUCAGUCCACCCACAUUAACCGACUUCAUCUUAAUCAUCUUCUUCUAAUUCAACUCAUUUUGAAAAUGAAAUGAUUUGACAUUUUAAAUAUUCAUUCAUCUUUCGAUUUUAGGUUAACAUUGAAUCGGAUGAGUUUAAUUUAAAAUUUAAAUUAAAAAAAUUAAAAAUUAAAAUUUUAGUAUUUAUAAAAAAAAUUUAAUCGGUUUAAUUCGAUUUGAUUAAUUUAAAAAUUUAAUAAAUUUUUUAAUUUUUACAUUUUAUUUUAAUAUUUUAAAAUUUAAUUGAAAUAUUUUAAUUUUAAUAUGAUUUAAUCUCUAUAUUAUUGAAAAUAAUAUACUAUUAUUAUCACUGAUCGAUUCGAUUCGAUUUUUUUAAUUUUUUCUGAUCAAAAUCAAAUCUGAUCGAAAUAAUUAAAAUUUUUAAAAUUAAAAACUGAAUUGAAUAAAAAUAAAUAAAAAAUUAAAUUAAAAUUUUAAAUUAAUUCAAUUCGAUGAAUUUUUUGAUUUGAAUCGAAUACUGUUCUCUUUACAUAUAUUUUCGAUACGAUAUAGUUGUAUUAUUUUUUUUUAUAAAUAUUUUUCAUAUUUAUUUUAUGUAUAAAUAAUUUUUAGAUUUAUUUAUAAUAUUUUAAUAUAAAAAGUCAUUACAUAUUUAAGAAAAAAAUUAUUAUAAUGAAUAAUUAAAAUAAAUUUUAAGAAGAGAAAAGGAGAUGGAAAGAUGGGGAAGAAAACAAGAAGAGAAGGUGGCGGCGGAGUAGUAGUGCGAAAUUUCUCACCGCCCAUAUAUAAAAUUAAAUUAAAUUAAUAAUUCAAUUUAAUUUUUUAUUUAAUCAUUUAAUUAAUUUAAAUAAUUUUUUUUAAAUAAAGUGAAUUAAGUAAAUAUUCACCAUUAACACUUUACUCUUUAAAUAGAUUAAUAUAAUGCGAACAAAAUUUAUUUUAAAUUCAAUAAAAUUAAGGAUAUUUGUGAUUACACUAAAAAAAUUGACCAAAUUUUUUUUUUUUUAAUUUGGAUUCAAUUUUCUUUUUUAGAUUUCAGUUUUCUAUUAGUAAUUCUAAAAUCGGAAUCCAAAAAAUCAAGUCGAUUAACCUACUGCUUACUUCAUUUAUAGCCUUUACAGUUUGAGUGUUACUCUUAUACUUCCUAUACUUUAACAAUAUUAAUUAUUUAGUUAUUAUUUUUUCAAAAAAAAAAUUGAUUAAGACAUCAUAUAUUUUGUAAAUUAAAUUUUUUAGUCAUUUAGAAAAAAUAUUAGUGAACUUAUUUUAGCAUUUGUUAAGACCAAAUAAUUAAUAUAUAUGGACAUUUAAGAAUAUAAAAAUUAAAUAAGAUGCAUAAUUAAAAUUAGAGAACUAAAUAUUAUAAAUAUAUAAAGUUAAAAGUAAGUUAAUUAACGAACUCUUAAUUAAAAAAAUGACAAAAGAAUUAUUUAUAAAAAAUAAUUUUUUUAAAAAAGUACUAAAUAGUUAAUGACAAAAUAUAUAAACUUAAUAACAAAUUAUUUAUAUAAUUUUUCUUAGUAAUAUAGCAAUAUUACAUUUGGUAAUUAAUAACUUUAGCAUAUAAAAUUGAGGGGUACUCACAGUUGGAUAUGCCGUUUAGAAUUAAAAGAAAUAUAUAGUUACAAAAUUUGAUUAGUUUAGAAUAAAAAAUAAUUUAAAUUUUGCCAUUAAUUUAUUUUAUCAAGCAUUUUUUUAAAUAAUUUGAUCAGAAACAUAAUAAUUGCUAAAAUAAGUCAUGAGCUGUUACCAUCAAAUAGGAUGGUAUGACAAGUAUCUGAUAAGUGGACAAUGCGGUUCAACUCAAAGAAAGAAAGAUUCAGAUACUUUAACACGCAUCAAGUCUCGUCCUUCCCUUGAUGGGAGAAUCUCGACAUGAAGUUACCAUUAGCAAGUACAAUCCAAUAUAUUCCCAUUAUGUCUGUAAUCGUUGGAUUACCAACUUAUUAGCUAGCGAUAUCUUUUAUCAAAUAGCCAGUCACAUCACUGUCGAAUAAUUGAGAAAUACUGUAUUUAUCCCACCUUCUUACAGUAUAAAAGGAGACAGUAUAAAAGGAGAAGAAUCAAAAGGCAAAGGUACGCUAUUUUUUGUCUUUUUCAAUAUACUAGCUUGAGCGUCGAAAUGGCUGUCGUAGGUAUCCAACACCAUCUCAGCUUCUCUUCCUUGCAGGUCUAGCCCAUCACAGAGUAUCUCCAAUCAAGCCACAUUAUCAAUCUAAUCUCUACAACGUUAUUUGGUUCCGUUGCCAGUAAAUCCAUUGGAUUCUCUCUAUUCAUUUGGAUUAAAACUAGUCUCUUAUUCCAUUUCUCUCAAAAAAAAGGAAUCUCUCCUUUUUAUCUCUCAAAAUGACUGAAAUUGUGCAUGUCAUUACAGAGGGACCCGAUAUGGGCAAAAAAAAAAAAGCGUAUAGCAGAAGGCGUUUUGUCAGUUGAUUAAAAACCAUGAGCCAAGCAAGAGGUAAGGUUCGAUCCUACUGACAAAGCGAUUGUAUUCUUUCAAAACGACCCAUUAAUCGUUAAAGUCCUCCUGAAUCGGCACGAGGUAAGGUGAGUAUUGGUGGAUACAAGUAGCUCAGUUAACCUUCUCAUCUUAAAUAUUUUUAACAAUUUAGGCUUAGAUAAAAACAGUCUUGUCAGAGUUUACUAUCCUUUAGUAGGAUUAGGAGAUAAAACCGUGAUAGUACUGGGUACCAUAAAUCUUCCCCUGAUAUUGGGUGAUGAAAAAUAUAGGCGGGAGUUAUAUAUGGAGUUUGCAUACAAUGUGAUACUCCGCAAUCCAGUCCUAAACUGCCACAUUAUCGUUAUUAAUAUGGGUGUUAUAUGUCUUAAACUUCCAACUCCAGAGGGAAUAGCAGUAGUCCAAGACAAUCCGAGGUUGGACAAAAAAGGUUACAGACACCCAAUAAAAAAUCUCAGGAAAGUAAGGAUGCCCAUUGAUUUGCUGAAAAAGUCAGAAUGUCACAUAAAAUCAGAACCGACAGACUCGGUAUAGGAGUUCCAGAUAGGUAAGGAACAGAAAGUAUGAUUCGAUACUCCAUUAAUCGGUGAAACAAAGGCUCGCCUAAUAGAAUUGCUAAAGACCAGAGUAACCACUUUCGCUUGGUCUCCAAAGGAUGUAGACUCGGCUCUCAUUACUCAUAAGCUAUCUAUUUAUAAGACCGUUAAACCAGUCCAACAAAAGAAAAGAAGUUUGCACUAGAGAGGUAGCACAUGAUUAAAGAAGAGGUUGAUAACCUUUUGAAUGUAGGACUGAUAAAAAAAGUCCAGUAUCCCACAUGGCUCACCAAUGUGAUCCUAGUGAAGAAAGCUGACAGGAAAUGAUGAACUGCAUGAAUGUCACUGACCUGAAUAAAGCUUGUACAAAAGAUCAUUAUCCGUUACCGUCCAUCGACAGGCUAUGUAACGACCCGAAAAUCAGACCGCCACCGGCGCUAGGAUUCAGGUCGACUUAAGGCCGCCAGAACCCGUAGCAAGCCUGUUAUACUCCCUGUGUACCUGUAAAUCUCUUAUAUGAUCAUAUAUUUUCUGCGAAAAUAAAAACUUUUCUCUGGACCAAGGCUCAACCUGUGUAUGUACUAACUCUGUACUAUAGAACCCCCUGACUAGAGCUUGUUCUAGAUGGGUUAACUCAUACCUGUUUAGCCUGGUUUUUCACUUGCUCAUAAAACAGUUACAUAAACAGACCAUGUACACAAAAGAUUUACAGUACAAAUAAGUCAAGCACAACUCUAACUUUAUACACAACUAUUACAUCUCUUUAAUAUUACAUGUCCACACUAUUCUAUUACAAAUCUCUUUACUCUUCCUGUACUCUUCUGGACUUCCCCUGUACACUGGACCUGCAAGACUGGGGUUAAGGGAGUGGGAUGAGCUCUAUAGCCCAGUGAGUAGAACAGUAAAACAGGUCAUGUUCUUAUGGAAUGCAUCAUAUCACAGACAAUUCAUAACAAGGGUAAACCUGUCACCAAAGAGUCCCAGUAUUAUUUCCGUGCCAGGGCGUAGAAUGGGCACCUGGUCUUCCUGUCAUGUAUAUCUAUACGUGUAUAUAACACCUGUACUUACCAUUGUGCCAGGGCGUAGACUGGGCACCUGGACUUUCCUAUACCUGCCAGGGCGUAGACUGGGCACCUGGUCUUUCCUUAGAGACUAAUUGGAUCAUUCAGCAUUCACCCACAUCAACAAGUAAGUAUGCAAUGCAACAUAUUCGUGGAUUCUAAUGCAAUCAACCUACUGCAUAAUCAUGGUGCAUGAAAUAUGCUAAAAGCAUUCACUUUCUCAAUUAAAAGACUUAAGUUUAGUUCCACUUACCUCUGGCUAUCUCUGGACUGACUCUGCAAACUCUGAAGCAAAAUGUCCCUCCUGCCCACACCUAUAGCAGGCUAAAGAUCCCAUCUGACAAGCUCCUUUGUGUGGUCUUCCACAUCUCCCACAUACUGGACUGCUUGCGCCAGAGCUUGAGCCACUACCCAUUCCCAAACUAGACUUGGCCUUACUCCAGAACUUAUUCUUUAUUCCUUUUGCCCUUUCCCAUCUCUUGCUGCCUGAAGUUGCUGCACUGGGGGCCUUAGGACCCGAAGAUUGUGCCUUUGACUGUUUUAAUGUACUCUGAAUAUUGGCACUUGUCUCCAUUUUUCUGGCGACAUCCACUAUAGAGUGGAAACUUUCUUUUUCUGCUGGAAGAAUACCUGGGAUGAAGUCUCAUAGUAUAUCUCCUUGCCUUCUUCUGAUCAGUAUCAUAGGCUUGACCCACAUACUGAAGCAAAUCCAGGAACUUAUCUGUAAAUUCAUCCACACUCAUCUCUUCUGUCUGCCUUAACUGUUCAAAUUCUAUCACCUUCAUCUCCCUGGAACUGUCAGGAAAAGCCCACCCUGCAUCAUAUCACAGACAAUUCAUAACAAGGGUAAACCUGUCACCAAAGAGUCCCAGUAUUAUUUUCGUGCCAAGGCGUAGAAUGGGCACCUGGUCUUCCUGUCAUGUAUAUCUAUACGUGUAUAUAACACCUGUACUUACCAUUGUGCCAGGGCGUAGACUGGGCACCUGGACUUUCCUAUACCUGCCAGGGCGUAGACUGGGCACCUGGUCUUUCCUCAGAGACUAAUUGGAUCAUUCAGCAUUCACCCACAUCAACAAGUAUGCAAUGCAACAUAUUCGUGGAUUCUAAUGUAAUCAACCUACUACAUAAUCAUGGUGCAUGAAAUAUGCUAAAAGCAUUCACUUUCUCAAUUAAAAGACUUAAGUUUAGUUCCACUCACCUCUGGCUAUCUCUGGACUGACUCUGCAAACUCUGAAGCAGUACUCACUGCUGAACUCUCUGGUUCCUCUGGUCUGUGCCUACACAGAUGGACUCAAAUGAGGGACCAAACUAGCUCAAGAACAACUCUAUAAAACUCCCCAAAAUCCCUCUAAAAGAUCCUAAAAGAAUCACAUAAAGCAUGCAAAGAAAGGCUGGAUAGGGCACUUUCGGCGGUAGGUUCGGCGGCCGAAAGUCCUCUCCAGAGCCGAAACUCAUGCACCUUCGGCGGCCGAAUCUCUACUUUCGGCAGUCGAACCCUUUCGGAGGCAAGGUUCGGGGGCUGAAAGGCACUCCAGAGACGAAAGUCCAUAACCUUCGGCGGCACCUUCGGCGGCCGAAACUCCCCUCCAGAGCUAAAAGUCCAAACUCUCGGGGGCAAGCUUAGGCAACCGAAGCCACCUCCUCAGCACAUUCGGCGGCCGAACCAUUCUUCGGCGGCCGAAGCUGGGUUUAUCAGCAAGGCAGAACCUUGCUCUGCCUCACACCAAAACACACCAAUCUUUCCCGAACUCAAACACCACAAUUCCUCAACAUGCAUAUACCCAAGUAUAUGCUCAAAAGGGUCAAAAACUACCUUAAAACCCCAACAAAACAACAUAAACAACACACAUAUAUAUGUUUUCAUCUCAACACAUCAAAAACACUCUAUUUACCCUAACCAUGCAACUUUCCCCAUAAACCCCAUAAAACCUCCAUAAAUCAUGAAAAGAAGUUCAGGAUCUUCACUUACCUCUUGAAAUCAAGAAGAUGAACGAUCCUAACGUGGAGAUAUGGAGCAACUCUCCUUCAAAACUCUCCAAACUUCAAAACUUAUGUUUUUAGCUCAAAACCUUCAAAAUAACAUAAAAACCAAUUAAACCUUUGCAAGAUUUGAUGAAAACAGGAAGAAUUCUCAAGGAAAAUAGGGUCUCACCUCUGAAAGUGAAAAGAAAAGCUAAUGCUUAUCCGUUCAACCGACUGAGGGCCUUUUAUAGGUGGCUGGCCAGACCACCUUCGGCGGCCUAUCGUGAAAUCGAAAGCCAUGCAAGUUCAGCGGCCGAACAUCACCUUCGGCGGCCGAACCUGGUUUUUCUGCCUUGGUUCUUUUCUUUCAAAAACUCAUUUCCUUUUAACUUUAAACCCAUAUAACAUACUAAAAUACUUUAGAAAAACAUAAAUCUUACCCUUCUAGAGGAUUCUGACAUCCUGGAUCCCACCGAAAAGUAGAAUUCUGAUGCCGGAUUCUAACCGGGUAUUACAGGCUAGUAGACUCGACCUCAGAACAUGCGGUGGUUUUCUUCCUUGAUGUUGUUUCAAGAUACCACCAAAUCAUGAUGGACACCAAGGACACAUAGAAGAUUGCAUUUAUAACAGAUGAAGGAUUUUAUUGCUAUGAGGUAAUGCCUUUUAGUUUAAAAAAUGCGGGGGCGAUGUACCAAAGUUGGUGUCAAGAAUCUUUAAAAAUAUGGUUGGAUCAACAGUCGAAGUGUAUAUGGACAAUAUGGUAGUAAAGAGCCGAUUCUUGGAAGACCAUUCAGAAGAUAUCUAGAAAGUCUUUGACAUCCUAGAUUAGGUGGGUAUAAAGCUAAACCCUGAAAAGUAUACCUUCAGGGUAAAGGCUAGAAAGUUUCUAAGAUGUAUCAUCUCAGAAAGAGAGAUAGAGGCAAACCCUGAGAAAAUCAAUGCCAUCCAAAAUAUGAAAGCAUCCAAAACCAUUAAUGAAGUACAGAGGUUGAAUGGGCGAAUCACUACCCUAAGUCGUUUAAUAUCAUACGUUUCAUAUCAUACUCGACCAAAAGAUGGCUCCCAUUCUUCAGAAUCUUAAAAGGCAAAGGUAAGUUUGAGUGGGGGAAGGAGUGUGCAGACGCAUUUGAAAGUCUAAAAACCUUUUUAUCAUCUCCUCUGUUGCUGAGCCCGCCCGUCGAAGGCGAAGUUUUAUUUUUAUAUUUGUCUGUGACACAGGAAACGGUUUGCUCAGUGCUCGUUCGUGAAAACAAUAGGGAGAAAAGUUUAGUGUAUUAUGUCAACUAAGUUUUGAAGGAGGCGGAGCUGAAUUAUCCUCCUCUCGAAUAUUUGGCGUUUAUAGUUCUAAUUUCGGCUACAAAGCUAUGACCAUACUCGAUUCGUACACCAUCGAAGUCAGGACAGAUUAUUCUUUGUGGAAGGUUCUACACAGGCUGGAGUUGUCAGUGCGAUUAUCCACCUGGGUAAUAAUAUUGUCAGCAUAUGAUAUCAGGUAUGUUCCCAAGAAGGGUAUGAAAGUCUAGGUGCUAGCUAAUUUUAUUGCGAAAAUGACUAUCAUUAGAACUUUUGAAAUCCCCUGAGUCAACCAUAGAGGAAUGAAAAGUUUAGGUAGAUGGAGCUUGUGGGGUUAAGGGUUCUAGAAUCAGGAUCCUAUUACAGUCUCAAACCAGUAUAAAGUUUUGGUAUGCAGUAAAGCUUACUUUCAAUGCCACCAAUAAUGUGGCCGAGUACGAGGCUGUGAUAAUGGCCCUAAGGAUCAUCAGAAAUUAGGUAUAUAAAAAUUUAUUAUUUUUAAUGACCGAUAAUUGAUUGUUAAUCUAUACCAGGGACAAUUCAAAGUUUGAGAACCGAAUCUUGUUAAAUACGAGAAAAAAGUUUGGUCCCUAAUGAAGUAAAUCAUAGAAGGAUAGGGUAGCUACGAAUUUUGUUAGGUGGCUAGAGGCAACAAUGAAGAGUCGGAUCUUUUGGCCAAAAUGGCAGCGGCGGAUGAAUAACACUUGACUUAGCCUGGCAAUAGAAGCGAAAGAGUAUUUUUCCAUAGAAGAGGGGGAAUCAUGGAUGACGCCCACAUACAAAUUUUUUACACAGGAGCUAAAGAAAAAGCUCGACCAAGCCAAUGGCAACUAGUCUGAGGAGUUACCCAUAUACUGUGGGCAUAAAGGAUCACUUCUAGAACAGGUAUAGGAGAAAUGCCCUUUUCUCUUGUAUAUGGGGGCCGAGGCAGUCAUCCAUGUGGAAAUUCAAGUAAACAGCUUCAGGACACAACACCCAGAGAUUUCAGGAGAUCCUGAAGAGAUGAAAUUCAAUUUGGACUAAGAUAAAUUCCUAUAAGAAAAGGUCGUAAUCAGAAUGGCGGUCUACAGAAAUAAAAUGUCCAGAAUAUUCAAUAAUAAGGUCAGGUCAUGAGCUUUUAAUGUGGGGGACCUAGUCCUUAAAAGAAUAGAUAUAACAAGUGGCAAUACCGGACCUGGUAAUUAAGUUGGGUGAGAACUGGAAAGGACCGUUUAAGGUCUUAAAGGUUAUUCAUCCAGGAUCAUAUAAGCUGGCCAAGCUAGAUGCUCAAGUCAUUCCCCAUGCCUGGAAUAUCUGUAAUCUGAGAAAGUUUUAUAAAUAACAAGUUAACGAGGUAUUUCUUUCACAUGUUAUGUUCUUUAGUAAUAAGGAACUAUGGGAUUGCAUUCCUCAAAAAAUUUUCAAGGAGACAAGAAGAGGCCACAAGAUGGGUUCUGUCAAGCUAGGUCAUAAGGCGGGUUCUGCUAGGCUAGGUUACAAGGCGAGUUCCACUAGACCGUCUAGGAGUUGGUCCCACCAAACAAGGCCACAAGGCGAGUUCUGCCAUGCCAAAUCACAAGGUGGAUUCCGCCAGACCAUUCGAGUAUUGGUCCUAUCAAACAAGGCCACAAUGCGAGUUCCGCUAGGCCAGACCAUAAGGCGGGUUCCAUUAAGCCAGGUCACAAGGCUGGUUCUGCCAAACCAUAUAGGCAUUGGUCCCACCAAACAAGGCCACAAGGUGGAUUCCACCAGACUAGGUUACAAGGCGAGUUUCGCUAGAUCAUCCGGGCAUUGGUCCCACCAAAUAAGACCACAAGUCGGGUUCCACUAGGUCAGGUCACAAGGCAGUUUUCACUAGACCAUAUGGGCUUUGAUCUCACCAAAUAAGGGCACAAGGCAAAUUUCACCAGGCCAUGUCACAAGGCAGGUUCCGCCAGACCAUCCGGUCGUUGGUCCCACCAAACAAGGCCACAGGGCAGGUUCCACCAAGCCAGGUCACAAGGUGGUUUUCACUAGCCCAUCCAGGCGUUGGUCCUACUAAACAAGGCCACGAGGCAGGUUCUGCCAAGUCACAACCCAAGCGUUGGUCCCUAUAAAUAGGUCAUCUAUGCCAGAUAGCCACGAGGCGGGUAUACUAACCUUCAAAAGAAAAAGGUAUCAAUAAAAGAUUAAUGUCGAUGAGGCAAGUCUUAUGACCAAGAAUGAAGAUAAAUGACUAGAUGAAGCCCUUAUUACAAAAUUGCCCCAAGGUGUCUUAGGACGGAAAGACAGGAGUCCGCUAGACCAUAUGCCCAAGUAUUAAUCUAAUUUUGCAAAAAAAUCUAUAAGUUAGUUAUGUGUGUUAAACUGGGCAUUAAGCCUUACAAAGUGAAUAUGCUUUAGGACUCUUUUUUUGGGGCAAAAAAUGAGGGUCUCCGAAUUCAUAGUUCGAGAUAUAGCCCCUAAUUAAAUCAUUAGUAGCGAUAAUACACCCAAGAAUAGAUAUGCAUUUUCAUUAUAAAAGAUCACAAGGAGGUAAAAUAGACUUGGAUAAGUCUCUGCUACAUUAGAAUCUCCUAAAAAUCUAUUAACAGAGACCCAGUUAGCGGGAUUCUCCUCAGCCUCUCGCUUGAUCUCAUCCUCUAGGAAGAUGUCAUCUAUUUAGAAAAAGCCGCAUGAAGGACCGCUUCUCCAACUGCUUUCUUGGCCUGGCCUUCAGAAUCAAUCUUGCACAAUCCAACCCCUCUCCCUGAGAUUGUAAUGCUGGAAAACCGUUAUAGUCGGACUGGUUGCAAUCCUCAAAGCUAAGUAGUAUGUUUACACUUUCAUGAAGACCUACCUUUAUUCAUGAAGACCUACCUUUAGCUGCUCUUCGUAGACCACAUGAUGAUAAUCUCUGCACAGAUCUGAUUAUUCUCAGGAAAAGAAAAGAAAAUAUCCCAUUCAUGUCUCCCGUAGAUGACAGUCGCAAACAAAAGAAGAGAAAGAGUGGCACAACUAGUAAAACUAUAAAUAUGGCUCAAAAAAAUAAGACUAUCAUCAUGACCAAGGUAGACAAGACGACGCAAGCAGUAAAGAAUAAUCAAAUCGUGCCACAUAACCAAAAGACAAACCGUCACCUUCGAAUCUAAAGAAUUGAAGACCAGUUGGAAGGACCUCUGAUGCAAUAUAACAAUCGCCCAAAAUAAGUUAUAAGCUAUCACCAUUAGACAAGACCACGUGGUAAGAAUCUGAUAAGUGGAAAAUGCGGUCCAGCCCAAGGGAAGGAAGAUCCGGACACCUUAACACCCGGUUCAUCAUCAAGACUCGCCCUUUCCUCGAUAGGGCGAGCCUUGACACGAAGUGACAGUUAGUAGGCACAGUCUAACAUAUCCCCAUUACACCUGUAAUCGCGAGAUUAUCAACCUAUUAGCUGGCGAUAUCUUUUAUCAAGCAGCCGGUCACAUCACUGCCGGAUAAUCGGAAAAUUUAUCUCACAUUCCUACAAUAUAAAAGGAGAAUAAUCAAAGAGGCAAAGGUACGCUAUUCUCUUACACAAAAGCUGUAAGCAGUUCAUUGUAUUCUUUCUCUCUUCUUCAAUAUAUUGACUUAAGCAUUGAAGUGGCUGCUGUAGACACCCACCACUACCUUACAUUAUCUUCCUUGUAAGUCUAGCAAUCACAACGUAUUUUCAAUUUGGCUAUGUCAUCGAUCUAAUCUCUACAACAUCAAUCAAUAAUUUUUUUAAUAUUUUUAUUUUUUUAAAUUAAACUGUUCAAGACAAUAUGAAUAGGCGUUUGGAGGAAAAAAAACUCCUUACAUUAAAUAAUAAAUUACACAACAAUAAAAAUUAAAGUUAAUUUAUCUUUUAAAAUUAAAUCAAAUGAAACUAAAGAAAAUUAAAAUAAAAUAGAAUAAAAAAUUAAAUCAAACAAGUGAAAAUCAUUGAAUUAAUUUUAAAAAAUAGGGGAGGGUAGUAAAAAAUUAUGUAAAGAAUAUGAAAGAAUGUUGCAAACAUAAUGGAGUUUUUUCUAGGGUUCUUGUAAAUUUUAUAUUCCCAUAAUACCUUUAAAACUAGUUUUUAUAGCUAUUAUAAGUUAAUACUCAUUCCGUUUUAUAAUUUUUUAUUAAAUUAUUUUAAAAUUAUUAUCUAAAAAAAUUAAUAUAUAAAUUAACUAUUAUAAUAUUAUUUAAUUUUAUCUUAUUUCAAAAAUAAUUUUUUUAUUAAUUAUGAAAAUAUCUCUUAUAAUUUAAUAAAAUUUAAUAUUUUAAAAAUGAAUAUAAUUAAAAAGUUAAUAAAAAAAGUUAUUUUUCUUAAUUUAUGUAAAAGAAUAAAGUGAAUAAAAAUUAUGAAAUAAAAACAAUAAUUAAAAUUUAAAUAAUAAUAAUAAUUUUAAAGCGAUAGUUUUUUUAAUUUUUAAAUGGAACUACUAGAUGGAUAUAUAUUGAAUUGCCGGUUCUAAAUCGUAUGGAACUGGUAGUUCACAAUUUUCAAGAUUUUUCAACUUAAACAAAAUUCAAAGUAUCUAAUAAAGUGAUUGUCCAACAUUCUUUAUUUUAUUAAUUAAAAUGUAUAAUAAUUAAUGACUAAUUAAGUAGAAAAGAUAUACUUUAUUCUUUCUAUAAUAUUUAUUUAUAUUUUUUUAUUAUUCUAAAAUUAUUAUUUAUUUUUUUAUACUAUAAUAAUAUAUGAAAUAACUAUUAUAAUUUUAUUUUAUAUUAACUGUUACCACAGUUUUUAGUAUUUUUAUUUUGACAAAUACCAAGCACUAUAGCGGUAGAUAUGCUUAUAAUAGAUGACACAAAUAAUAAACCAUUAGAAUGUAUUCAUCCUACAUAAAAAUAAUUAUACCAAAUAAAUUUUUAUAUUAUAAUUUUAAUAUAGCAUGACGAAAUCUGUUUUAUAGUCUGAUAUACAAUAUCUUGUUUAAUGAAAUUAACACUUAGAUUUAAGGCUGUGCAAUCGGUCGGUUCGGUUCCGAACUGAACCGAACCGAUAAAAUUGAAAAUCGAAAUGUUAAAAUUACCGAUUAUGAAGAUAUAAUCGAAUCGAAUCGAACCGAUAAAAAUCGGUUCGGUUCGGUUUGGUUUGGUUCAAACUGAAAUCUGCUUGGUUGGGCUUGGGGCCGAAAGGGAUGGAGGGAUUGGGGUGCUGGGUUUGGGUACGAAAGGCCAAAGGGAGGGCUUGGGCUCGGGCUUGGGCUUGAGCCUAUCCACUAAAUCGAUUUUUCGGUUUGAUCGGUUAUUUAACAUGUUUAAACCGAACCGAACCGAAAACCGAAUAAUUUUAAAUAUAAUAACCGAACCAAACCGAUUAUUCCAAAAAACCGAAUUGAAAAACCGAAAUCAAAAAGUUCAAUUCGGUUUUUCAAUUUAGACCGAAAUAUGCGCUCCCCUACUUAGAUUAUAGUACGAGAUUCGUCUAUAAUAUUUAACAGUGGGAUUUAGUGGGUGUAAAAAACUAUCCUCAUCCAAAUUUUUUGCUUAUCCAAAAACACAACAGGCAAGCAACACAGCCUACAAAUUAAAAAAAAGUUUUAAAAAGCAUAACGGUGUUAAUUACUUUAGUUUAUCUUUGGACAGAUAGACUGCCUUUUGAAUUCUAAAGUAAAUUUCAAUUUGAAAAGUUUACUAUUUAGCUAUUAUAUUAUAUGAAAGCUUACUAAUUCAACUUUCGAUUUCAAAAAUAUAUUAAGGUGUUUUGAAAUUUUAAAAAAUCUAUUAAUUAUUUAUUUUGUUAGUUUUAUCGGUUAAAUAUUUUAUAAAAUGAAAAAACUUAUUAAUUGAUCUAUCAAUUCUGUAAAAUUAUUUUUUAAUUAAUCCAUUCGUAUUGGUGGCAUUUUAGACUUUAUUAAAAUAUUUAUGUAUAAAAUUAAUUGAGAGAUUAAAUCAAUAGAGAGAUUAAUUAAUAAAUUUUUUAAAAUUUAAAAGUAUUUUCAAAACUAAAUAACUAAUUAACAGAGUUUUCUUACAUAACAAAAUAAUAAUUUCUCAUUGAAAUCUCAAAGUGUGUAGGCAAGGGUAUCCUCCUUUUGCUCUAAGGAACCUGCCCUUAGCCUCGAAGAAAAAGAAAGAACAGUGCCUUAUACCAUCAAACAAGAAGAACCCAUUCCAAGGUACUGUACCCUAAAAAGGCAGGCUCAGUUCCUCAAAACCAUGAAUACAUACAGAGCAGAUUCCUUAAUGAAGAAGCUAUGUGUUUCCUUCUCUCGUUGGCCCUAAAAGAAAAUUUUCCUUCCUAUAAUCAUCCCAAACAGCACAGGAACCCUUGCAUAGCUCACUAUCUGACUCGUUAUGCAGUCUUAAUCUGGGAAAAGAAAAAAGAGAAAUCAAAGAAAGAAUAAGAAAGUAAGAGUGAGAAAAAAAAAAAGAAGAAAAGAGAGACAAAUUACAGAUUGGUUUUUCAAGAUAUAUACAUAUCCGCAUAGAAUUUUAUAUAUGAUAUAAUUAUUGUAUGGUUUUUAAAAGAAUAAAAGUUGAUAAAAGAUGGGAAAAUAAUAAUAAUAAUAAUAAUGAAGUUUGAUAAUCUUCAGUAUUAUUUUUUUUUUCUCAAGUCACUUUCAUAAGAUGGAAAGUGCUGUAAUUAUUUAGAAAUGGCUAUUGCUAGUCCGAAGAACAUUCAAAAUAAUUCUUAAUACUUCAAGUUUUAAAAAAAAUUAGCUAGAACGGUUAAAAUUAAUAAAAAAAUUGAUUAGUAAAUUUUUUAAAAAUAUUAAUGAUAUUUUAAUAUAUUUUUUAAAAUUGAAGGACUAAUUAAUAACACCAUAUUAUAAAGUAGUAGUUUUUUUAAUCAAUUAUAUCUACAUAUAUUAAGUUAAAAAUAUAAAAAAUUAAGAAAAAUACAGAAAUUAAUUAAAUAAAAAACAGAAAAUUACAAUAUUUAUUUUAAAAAUUAGCAAAAUAGAUAAAAAUAGUCAAAUUUUUUUAUUUUUCGUCAAUUAUUGUCGAUACUUAAUUUAAUUUUAUCUAAUUUAAUUUAAUUUUAAAAAUUAGUAUUAAUUAUAAUCAAAAAUUUAUUUUGUGAUAUAUAAAUUUUAUAAUAUAAAAAUAAUUAAAACUAACCUAAAAUUACAUAAAAAAAAAUUAUAUGGACAAUACACAGACAAUAAAAUUUAUAUUUCAAUUAAACUCAUUAUUGUAAUUAAUACUAACCUAUAUAAAAUUAAAAAUAUUCAUUAUAAUUAAUAAAAAAUAAAAAGAUUUAACUAUUUUUAUCUAUUUUGCUUAAAAUUUUGAUAAGUGUUCGAGGGAUUUCAUUUCAAGACUCUUAUUGUCGUUUUCUAUUGAUUUUUCAACAAUUUUUUUGUCUAAAAUAUUGUCGUAGCCACCUCUUGUCCCCUUGCUCCGCCCAGAGAAUGGUGACUGGUGAUGGCAAAAGCUAGCAGCAGUGUUACAAGUCACUUGAAAUAAAUAUUAUAUAAAUCAAACUUUUUUUUAAAAUAAUUAUAUAAAUCAAAGAUUGGAAUAUAGUUAACGUGUGAUUCCAUAAUUAUAAAUCUUAAUUACGUGGGGAGAUCCCACCACCACUCACUGGACAGAUUGUGAUUAAUUAUUUGCUUUUUCAUGUUCAUCUCUCUCGUCCAUGAAUACUUUUUUUUUUUUUUUAACACUGAAAACUCAGUCCAAAGGCAUCACAAAGCUUAUAGAUGAAGAAAGUUUCGUCCACUCAAACCCUAAAAAUAUAGUAGAACAAAAAGAGAUGAGAAUAAGAGAAUAAUGAUAAUAAUAAUACUAAGCAAAAGGAAAAGCUCCCUCCUCUAUCUUUCCUUCACCUUCUUCUUUAAUUCUCUUUUUUUUUUUUUUCUUUUCUCUUGCUUUCUUGGCUCUGGUAUUCGCUUGGUGUGAUUCUCCACCAUAUUUUCUUUCCUAAAGACCCAUCAACCUUUACAAAAGAAAAAAAAAGAUCAAAAAAGAAGAAAAUAUAACCAUGGUUUUCUCCUCAGCUCCAGUCUAUUUAGAUCCUCCCAACUGGCAGCAGGUAAAGAAGAAAGAGCAUAUCAUAAAGAUUAUUAUUCCUAUUCCUUUUUUUUUUUAAUGAUCUUUUUCUUGAAUAUACUUGAUAUAAUUUCUCUUUAAUAUGUUUGCAAUUCUUGAAAUUUUUUGCCUUACAGCAACCAAAUCAACAAGGAGGAGCUACCAAUGAAAACCUCCACCUUCCGCCUCUUCCUCUUCCUCCUCCUCCUCAUGUCGGCGAUGGUGGGAUUGGUUCUGUUAGACCUGGUUCGAUGGCUGAUCGAGCCCGGUUAGCAAAGAUACCACUGCCGGAGACAACCCUAAAGUGCCCAAGGUGUGAAUCCACUAACACGAAAUUUUGCUAUUUUAAUAAUUAUAGCCUCACGCAACCUCGACACUUUUGCAAAACAUGUCGGCGAUACUGGACUAGAGGUGGUGCCCUUAGAAAUGUUCCAGUUGGUGGUGGUUGCAGGAGAAACAAGAAAAACAAAAGCCAAAGUAGAUCAAAAUCCCCAGCUUCAAGUGAAAGGCAAAUGGGUUCGUGUUCAAACUCUACAAGUGCAGUUCCCUCUGAGAUUAUUGGUCAUUUUCCUCCACAACCAAGUCAAUUACCUCUCAUGACUUCUUUGCAUAACCUCACUCAAUUUGGUAUUGCAAAUCUUGGCUUAAACUUUGGAGGAAUUCAGGGAAACAUGGGAGCAAAUAGUGGAGCUGGUGGACAGACUGACAUGGGAUUUCAGAUUGGAAGCAAUUCCGGCAUGAGCAGUGCCGUUUUAUCAACCGGAGGAGUGCAACAAUUCCCUUUCUUUGAGCCUACACCCACCGGCUUAUACCCAUUUCAAACAGAAGGUGUUGAAGCAUCUUCUUCCAUGGUUGUUGAUACCCAGCUCCGAUCAAUGACUUCAAGCUCUAGGGUUUCUCAGUUGGCUCCAGUGAAGAUGGAAGAUAACCAUAGGUUGAAUUUAUCAAAACCAUUUCUGGGUAUUUCGGAGAGUAAUCAAUACUGGAGUGGAAAUACAUGGACAGAUUUAUCAGGUCUCAACUCUUCUUCCAGUAGCCAUCUCUUAUAAGAGUUCUCUUAUCUGAUUGAUAAAAGAGAACAAACUUUAUCUAUAUGAAGCACUAGCUCAUUAGCGACCAUUGACCCAAAAUUAAGCUGCAUGCAAGUUUUACUAAACAGCCUUAACUUUGAAGCUCUGAACUUCCCAAAAGUGGCGAAAUUGCAUAAGGUGAUUAAGGAGCUCAUGAUCCACGGAGAUAGAAGCCAGAAAAUGGUAGAUGUCUGUUUCAAGUUUAUUUGUUUUUCUUUUUAAGUUGCGUUUUUGGUAUGUACGUUAUGGCUUGUUUGAGUGUGUGUUUGUAUGAAAAGACAUGAUGAGCUCGUAUCCUGAUAUAACUUAUAUUUUCAUGCAUUAUCAUCGUUAGUCCCAUUAAACAAAAGUGGGUUGAAUUCUUCAGAGAGAAUAAAUAAGAAAGCUAGCUCGUACACUGAUGACUGAACCUGAACCUAAAACAAAUAGUUCCUAUGGCAGUUUUCAUAGUGAAGCAUCUUAGUACACGAUUCAAGCUUUUUAUUCUAGCUUAAGCUUUAGCGCCAUUCAUUUUCAUUCAUUAAUCUUCUUGUCAUGCAUCAUGCAAGUUUAAUUCUUGAAAUCAGGCAAUGGAUCAAGAUAAUAUAAGUUUGUUGCCACCUCCAAAACUGGUAGAGAGAUGCUGCAUUUGAGUCCCCAGGUUUUACCUUGGAGUAAUGUAAGUCACUCUUUCUCUCUGUCAAUUCAACUAGCUAUAGCUAUUGGUUGAGAAGACCUCCAUUAGAAAUUAAGCCGGUCUUCUUCAACUAAUAGCUAUAGCUAGUUGAAUGGAACUGGCCUGAAAACUAUAGUAGAUCUCUGCUAGGGAGAGAUUCUUCUCCAUUUCCCCAUAUUUAUCAUAUCCUCAGCAUGUAGGAAAACAAGAAUACCCAGAAAGCUCUCUCUUGUGUCACGCUUAUAGGUCAUAUUCAUAUGAGAUCUAAUAGGUUUAUAGUUGCCCAGCUUCAGUAACAUUUACCAAUCCAAGAAAACUGUAAGCUGCGCUUCCCUUAUAUUCUGUUGGGAAUCCCAUAUUGCAAAUAUAUAAGAAGAAAAGGCUUCUAAUAUCAAAAUAACUGAUCAUUUUAAUAUAUAAACCAAUUCAAUCGUUCAUAUAAAUCUGUAUAAAAUAAAUUAAUGUUUAAUAUGUUCGACACUCUUUUUAAAUUUAACAUAAUAUCAGAGUUUAAUUCAAAUUAUGGAGUUCAGUUGGCUAUAAAACUAUAUAAUUAAGCUCGAAGCAAUAUUGCACACAAUUAGGUCUUUGCAUGUGUGUACAUGGAGAGAAAGGGUAAGCAUCGUUGAUGGUAAUGAUUUUGUAAUUAUAUAGAAGGGACGUACUUAUUAUUUUGUUUGAUGGGUGAAAGAAAAGAGAGUGAGAUGAUCAUCAGUGUUGAAGUGAAAGAUAAAGGAUCCAAGAAAACGCCAAGAAUCCCACUCAAAACCAUGCAACGUUAUUGCAUUUUCAGCCUAAACCAGGUGACAAGUGUUUCUAGAAUUUCUUUGGCACAUAUCUAUGCAAGUUUAAAAACCAACCAAGUCAAAAGUAGAAGCCUUUUGCAAUCCUCUGUCUCCUAUGCAUCUCUCAAAAUUCCACCCCAUAAAAAAAAAUCAUUGUAAAUAAAUCAAUAAACUUCAAGAACUGGUGUUAACAGUCUCUUAUUUGCUUACCAAAAACAAUUCAAUCAAAAUUCAAAUUUACAAAAAGAAAAGAGUAAAUGUUGACAUAGUCAUGAUGAAUUGUAGAAUAUUAGUAUUAAAAUCCAACUGGGAUUGUGGGUGAUAUCAUAUAAAAAGCAAAGGGAAUCAAGGAUAUUUUGCUUUAGCACGGUCCAACGCUGCUGCUGCCGUGUAAGAAGGAAUAAAGCAAUAAAACCAGAAUAGACACAAGCCAUAAAGCUCCUCUCUCUCUCUUUCUUUCUUCUCUUUAUAUAUGCUACGUGAUCACUGAUCAGUUGGUCAUGGAACGUUAACGUAGAAAAGUGAAUACAGUUAAAUGGUGAUGUAUAUGUAUACAUAUAGAGAGAGAGGAAUUUGGGUAGGGUCACCAGCAAAAGCAAAGGAAGAAGAGAGCGAGGGAUAAAGAGGAAUGAUUGCUUUUGUCGGUGGGGCGAGGCUUUGGUCAUCCACGAACAAGAGCAAUCAAAGACGGGCUCGGAAUUCCACAAAUGUUUAUGGCCACUUUGAUUGCUAAAAUUCUUACCCCGCUUGAUCGUCCUAUAAAAUCUUAAUAAAAAAAAUUAUUAUUUAAUUUUUAAAAUAAAAUCAAUUAAUUUUUUAAUUUUAAAAAAUAUAUUAAAAAAACGAUUUCAUAUUCUAUUCUACCAUCCUCAAUUUUUAAUUUUAAAAAAUAUAUUAAACAUUUUAAUAAUAUAAUAUAAAAAAAUUUAUUAAAUGAUUUCUCCAUUUUAAAAUGUGUAUUAAAAUGUUUUUAAUUUUUUAAAAGUUUAUUAAUUAAUCAAUUUAUUAAUUUUAAUUGUUAAAUAUUGUAAAAAUAUUUAAAAUAUUUCUGGAAGGAUUAAUUAAUAAAAUUUUUAAAAAUUCAAGAGAUUAAUUAAUAAAUUUUUUAAAAUUGUAGGAAUUAAUUAAUAAAAUAAUAAAUUAGUAAUUUUUUAAAAUUUUAAAAAUAUUUUAAUAUAUUUUUAAAAUGAUAGAUUAAUUAAUAAGCUUUUUAUAUUAUAAAAAUUAAAUAAUAAUUUUUUCUAAUUAAUAAACUAUUAUACAAAAAUUUUCAUAGAUAAUAUAUAAAUGAGUGAGUUUUUCUAUUAAAAAAGUAAAUAAAAUUUAUUUAUUUAUUUAUAUUUGAGAGAUGAUUUAGUCUGGGUCUGAAAAAAUAUAUACAAGAAUUAUUAUAAUUUUAAUCAAUAAAAAAUUUAUUUAGAUUAUUUAGAGGAAGUUUAUGUGAAUUGAUAGUGUAAAUAUAUAUUUUAUCUAAAUUUUAUUUUUAUUUUAAGUUUAUAUAAAUUGGAUGUAUAUAAAAAUUUUGGUUAACCGAGAUGGCAUGUUUGAUUGAUUGAGUAUACACGUGUACACUUACUGCAAAAUUUUGCGCUUAAGCUGGGCUUUUAUAAACAUGGUUUGAGAAAAAGAAUUUUCUCAAAUUAGGAUGUUGUGUGACAUCUGACAAAAAAUUGGGUUCUGCCGACUUGCUGCUUCCAUAAGCAGCACUUGUAAUUAUUAUUUAUAAUAAAUAAAAUCCAAGAGCCUCGGUCUCUUUUGUGCCAAAUUCCAUCUCAUGACUUUGUCAUGUUUUUUUUGCCACAUAAAUAUAAAGGUACUCUUAAGAACAAAGCGAAUGAUAUUAUAAAAAAAAAACUCAUCUGUUUUAAACUCAUUCAGGCUCAAAAUACUUUUAAUUAGCAGGAGAUUCAGAGUAAGAUCAUCAUUAAAGAGGAAAUGUGUCCGAUUUAGCGCUAAUGUCAGGUGUUGAAUACUCAGCAGCCAAUCUAGCGCUUUAAUUCCUACACUUGCAGAAGUGGGUUCAAAUGGGACAAUCGCAGAAAGCUCAGAAACUAAGGUAGAAGUACCCAAGGCAAAAGUCUCCGGCUGAAAUUAAGCUGUUUCUUUUACUACAAGUGGGACCAAGGGACAUCCACAAAGAGGAAGGUAACCGAUCAAACAUGGUCAAGUGCUUUCACCUGUCAAAACUCUUAAUUUUUGUGGGUACCCAUUUGUACAGCUAGAAGAAAAGCACUACACUCGGUUGGUUCAAUGUGGUUAUUAAGGCAGAUGAAUCGGAAAGCCACCAAGAUCCUCCAGUUAUUGUGGUGCAGCUGGGCAACCGAAAACUUGUAGAACUAAGGACAUCAACAAAAAAUGGGUUCAUAGGGAAUCAAAGACUCGCCUUCAAUUGCUCCUCAAAAACCAUGAUAGUAUCAUCAGCAGGGAUCAAGUUACUUACACAGACGCAUAGAAAAGGAGCAAAAAUACGGAAAGCCUCUUAAGGAAUGUGAUAUGUAUCGUAGAGACGGUCUACAUCACGCUCAGAGAGGGCAGAUGAGAUAUCAUUAAUCAAGCCACCUUCGCUUUCUGGAGCCUCCCUCAACGGAACGAUAGGGGCUAGGGCACAAAUGGGGUUAUCGAAGGAGGAGUUAAAGGUAGAACCCCACUAGGGGAAAGGGAAGAAGAAGUAUUUUUGUUCAUGCUGAAGGGAAGCAGAAAUUACCAUAAGGAGUAUAAGCAAAAAGGAAGUUGUGAACGAAGUUUUUCCUUGAAAACAAAGGAUCACAAGAGAUAGCAAAAAUUGGUAUUUGGGGAAGAAGAAAGGUUUUUAUAAGACGGUUUUGAUAUCAGACUUUAAAUACGCCAAGAUAAGCAAUGCAGUCAUCAUUGAGGAGCUAGGUAGACGAAACGACAUGAGCAGCAAAAAAUCAAUCUUAGGAGGCCAAGUGCCCCAGACCUCGAGAACAGUUAUCUCCUUCAAAUUUGAAGAAUCGAAGACCAGCACCACCCAAAGUAAGCUAUGAGCCAUCACUAUGAGAUAGGUACACAUGAAAAGGAUUUGGUAAGUAGAAAAUGCAGUCCAUGCGGAAAAAAAGAAAAUUUGGAUGCCAUAACACCCGAUGUAUCAUCAAGACUCGCCAUUCCCUCGAUAGGGCGGGUCUCGACACGAAGUUACUAUUAACAGGCACAGUCCAGCGUAUCCUGCAAGAUUGCCAACUUAUUAAUUGACGAUAUCCCUCAUCAAGCAACCGGCCACAUUACCACCGUAUAAUCGAAAAAUAUUACAUUUAUCCCCACCUUCUUAUAAUAUAAAAGGAGAAGAAUUAUAGAGAAAAUAUAUGAUAUUCUCUCACACAAAAACUCUAAGUAAUUCUUUUCAUUCACUCUCUUCUUUAGUAUUUUAACUUAAGCGUCGGAGUGGCUACUAUGAACACUCACAACUACCUCACAUUCUCUUCUUUACAGGUCUAAACUAAUCACGACGUAGCUCCCUUCCAGUCAUGUCAUCAAUCUAAUCUUUGCAACGUCAUUUCCAAAUAAUUAUAAAAAUUAUAUUUAUACUCAAAUUAAACAUACAAUUUUUUUUUAAUUAUAAUAUUCUUAUCUCCAAAAAGCUCUAGCAAAUAUCCAUCGCAACUAGAAAUUCUGUAGCUAAAGCCAUUUGCAACAGAUUAUCAAACUCUUGAUGGUCAUUUAUUUGAUAUGAAAAUUGAGUUGCUAAUUAAGCGACAUAUUUAUCAUUGUACGAUGAUUGCUAAUUUAUUCUAUUGCUAAAAGUGACGCUAAUUUCUUUUCUUUGCGUAUGAUCUAAUCGCCUUUGAUGCAUCAAUAUCUUAAGGAGAUAUAGUAAUCCUUUCAUAUUUUGCGAAAAGCAAUCUAUUGAAUGGGGGAGAGAAUUUGACUUACAAGAAAGAACCAACUCAGAUUAUGCAAAAAGUUUGUAAGAACAAAAUGAUUGAUUCUUCUAAUUGUAAUUCAUUACAUCAACCAUUCUACAAAGAAUUAAGCUACUUAAGAGAGGAAUUAAGCUACUUAAGAGAGAGAAGAGAAUAUGUAAAAUUCAAUAUCUACAUGAAGACUAGUAUCUUAGUUGGAUGCUCAAGACGCCAAAACCUUGAACUAAAUUGCAAACUUUAUACACUUGAAUUAUCACCAAGUUUUUUCUUCUUCUUUUUCAUUUUUUUUUUCUUGAAAUUUUAUUAACUUUGAAAGCCAAUGAGUUCGAAAAGAGCAAUAUGCUGUUAUUUAAGAAUUGAAAUGUCAUUUUUCAAAAGUGGGAGGACCAGUCUGCAAUUACUAGCCAACUUUGCAUGUCACACCUAAACUGAAUUGUUGUGGUAGAUAAUGAGUAGUCCAAACAAAAUUUUCUUUCUUGAAAAAUCUGAAAAGAUUAGAUUUAAUUGAAAUGUCGUAUUGAAUAUUAGAUGAUAAAGUUAUUAUCAUAAUUUUGAAAAUUAACUUAAUUUUAAAGGUUAGCAAUUUUACUAUUAUAUAUAUAAUAUUCGGAAUAAUUAUAAAAAAAUUAGUAAUUUUGGUAAUAUUAAAUUAUCAAAUGAUAAAAUUUUCUUUUAAUGACUAAUAAUUAUAUUUAAAUUUAAAAUAGAAAAUAAUUUUAUUAUCUCAGUUAAUUUAAAUUUAAUAAAUAAAUAAUGAUUAUAUGAUUAUAAAGUGGUAACAUAAUUCAAUCAUAUAAUAAUGAUAAUUUUAUUUUUAAUUAAAAAUUAAAAUUGUUAUAAUAUUAACCUGUUAAAUAACAAAUUGAAAUUUAUUAAUUGAUAAAGUGAUUAUAUAAAAUAAAAAUAUAAUAUAAAAUAUAUAAAAAAUUAUGAGUGAGGGUAGACAAUAUGUAAUACACAUUAAUAAAAAGUAGUAUUAAUAAAUAACUCUAAAAAUCUUUGCAAUUAAAAAUUUUAUGAAAGUUUAAUUUAAUUAAAUUUUUUUCUUGUAAUAUGUUUAUUUAAAAUAAAAGAAUUUAAGAAUUUAUAAUUUAAAAAUUUUUCAAUAUGUAUAGAAAUGAAAUAAUAAAUUAUUUUAUAAGAAUUUAUUUAAAUUUAUUUUUAUAAAAUUAUUCAUACUAAAUGAAAAUAUAAUUUAUUUUAUUAAUUAAUAAAAUUAUUACAUUAUUUUAUUCUCUACAUAAAUUUUUGUGUUAUUGUUUUAUAUAAAUAUAAUAAAAUUUAUUUGUAAGUUUUUUAUUAUAAAAUAUUAAAUUUUAAAUUUUUCUCUAUGACAUAUAAUUAAAUAUUAUUAUUUAAAAUUGAGCUUAUUAUUUCAAUAAUUAUUCAUAAAAAUAUUAAUUAUAAUAAAAUUUUAAUUAUAAUUUUAUGAUAUUUAUUUAGUAAAAUAUCGAUUAAAUCUUGAUUUAAUUAUUGUUGAAUUUUAAAUACUUAAUUUAUAGUCUUACUAACUGGGGUUGGAUUUAAAAUAUUUUAUUAAAUUUAAAAUAAGUUGAUAAAUUAAAUAAUUUAUUUUCAUAAAAUAUAUGAAUAUUUUAAUUAAAAUUUGAAAUGAGAAUAAAUUAGUAAGUUUUCAAAAAAAGGGGGUCUUAAUUGUAAUUCUCCCUAUUUUACUUGCUAAAAUAAAUAGUUUGUGAUGGGCUUAUUGACGACUUAGAGAUCCAAGUUCAUGGGUUACAGGCUCAAAAAUGUGGGCUGAUGCUGACGGCUAACGACGACGAGGAGGAGGAGGAAGAAGAUGGAGCAGUAGAAAAUCAAACUCAGAGCUGAAUCACAAUUUUUGCUUGAAAGAAAUGCAGCAAUUCCACGCUCAGAGGAAGAAGGAGCCGUUUCUAGCUUCAGUUGGUCGCUGCACAAUUUCCUGUAUCUUGGCACUUCUGACUCAGUAUGCACUCUCCCUCGUCCCUCGGUUCUUCUCUGCUUCCUUUCUUCUCAUUCAACUUGCUCUCUCAGGUUCCCCAAACUCCUCCCUUUGAAAUUUCUCUAUGAUUAUUUGCUUUGAAAAAUUUAUUAAGGUUUGGUUCUAUUAUGCAGUUGUAGUGCUCUUGUUAGUUGUGGGUUUUGGGAAAUGGUGCAGGAAGCUUCUUGGGGUCUCUGCUUCAGCUCCAGCUUUUGUUUUCUUCAAUAUUCUCUUCGUUUGGGUUGUUUAUUUCGUAAUCGUUCGACAAGGUGGACUUUAUUCUCAUGGCUAGUAGAAUUUUCUUGUUUAAUUCGAAUUGGGUUGCUGUCUAAAUUAAGAAACUGUGGAUCGCUCUUUUGAGCUGGUACUUACAAUAUUUUCAAGAUGGGUUUCUGAAAAUAUUUCAAGUCCAAUAUUUCUGUUAUCGAUGCUAUGCAUAUUUUAGACUGUUCAUCAUCAAAAUUGAAAGAAGUAGCAUUGUCCCGGUAGAAUAAUUUUGGUCAGUGACAUAAAUUAUGACAUGAUAGAUUUAGUUGAUUUGAAUGAUGAUUUGUUUUUGGCCAAGUGACUUUGUGAUCUGCACUAACUGCUAGGAUGUGAUUAAAAAGAAAAAGAAGAGUUAAGGGAUUGCUUAUUACUGACAAAUUCCAAGGUAUGACCACAGACCAGUGACAAAUAGUGGUUGUUGUUCAUUGGAAGGCUGUGGCAGCUUAUGCUCCAAAAGCUAUAUGCUUGCACCUUGCUAUGGUUGGGUGCAUGCUAUUAUCAUUCAUCACUUAAUAAGAAUAUGUAUGUGAAGAACUAUUAAAAAUGGAAGCUGUUUUAUUGCCUGAGAAUGACCUUCAAUUUCCCUGUUCUGCAGCCAUUCCAUAUUUCAUUGAUGCUGUGUUCAAUGGAGAGGUUGCCAUGCUCUUCAUUGGUGUAUGUAGGUUGUUCUCUCUCUCCCUCUGUCUCAUUGUAUCAGGCAUUGAGAAAGAAGAUUUUUUUGCUUGGUUUUGUCAUCUAUGCAUUAAGAAUGCAUAAUUUUCCUGAUGGCAGUAUCCUAUCAAGUGAUCCUGGUUUGGUAACUCAUGGGUCUUCCCAUUCAGACAAGCUCGAUGAAAUUAAAGCUUUUGAAGUUGAAGUUCAAAAUGAGGUUGUAAGCUUGAACUGAGCCAACAAUAAGGAUUAUGAAUUAUGACUAGCUUUAACAAAUGACAUGUCAUGGGUGCCAGUGACACUAGUUAUUCCAUCUUUCUUAUUUUUAACGCUGCUAUUAUUUAUUUUAGUUAUACUUCUAACCUUCUAUUUUUAGAAACAUAGAAUAGAUAAGAUAGCUUUGGCUUGUUUCAUGUUUUCAUAGGGACUGGGGAGAUACACCAAUACAUCCUUGUGGAUGUCCCACAAGAAAAACAAACAAGAAAAAACUAGUGAAUAUAUAGAAGGGGAAAUCAAGCCAAAUUGGUUUAAGCCAUUUUGGCGGAGGCAACCCCAAGCUCGACCUAUGAAUCUUGUUGACAGUCAUUUGUGCUUUGCCAAGGCAGAAAAUUGCAUGUGGUAAUAGAGCAUAUCACAUUCUAGGACCCCAAAAAGCAUGGUGGGAGCAGUGCUGCAAUGAGCUAGACCUUGGUGGUUCUGUGGGCUAGUAAAAGAACUAGACCCACAGAGCUGAGCCAAAAUGAGAAAAGGCUAGACUGUAGAUGGCCCACUAUAUGCAAUACAAGUGACAACUGGACCUAUAAAUUUACAUCUAAUCCAGUUGCACUUGAGGGGGAAGUGUUGGAUGUUCCACAUCAGAAACAAACAAGAAAAAACAAGAGAAUAUAUGGGAAGGGAAAGUCAAGCCAAAUUGGUUUAAGCCAUCAAGCCCGACUAAUGGACCUUGCCAACAGUCAUCCGCACUCUCCGAGUCAGAAAUCCUUAAAGAUAGUUAAAAGCACAGUUCAAAUGGUUUUGGAUCUUUGAAAUGCAAUGGUUAAAUGCUGAACUAACUCGGCCGUUAAUCUGAUGGAUUUUUGGUUUUAUCAUGUUAUUAAAUGUUAUUGAGUUCUAUCUUGUUGGUUUAAAUGAAUUUGAAUCUCUCUGUUUCUCCCUUAAUGUCAGGGCAUACUUUACUCAUCUAAGCAAAGUACAGGUGCCUUUUUGCACUUUAGAGUUCUUAUAUUUGCUAGUGUUGCAUGCCAAUUGCCAGUUUAUUUCCAUGUCCACAUGGGAAGGCUAAUUAUUUAUUAGCUGCUUUGAUUUGUAGCCCUCUUCAUUUCUUCUUCUCCUCAUUAAAUAUUAGCAACUUUCAAGUUUUGAUAUUUUGCCUAUUUCUCACUCUUUAAAUGCUUAUAUUUGGCUUCUGUCUUUGCUGUUCUCCGAAUAUGAUUGUUUAUUUGAUUGAUGCCUUCAUAUUUUUGCAGAGUUCCUCACUGUUGAAGAGGGUUAGAUAUUGUAAGAGCUGUGAGGCAUAUGUAAAGGGGUUUGACCACCAUUGUCCUGCUUUUGGGAAUUGUAUAGGUGAUUACUGUCUUUUCUCACAAUUUUCCUUGUAAGAUUGAUUAAAGCAAUUUCAGAGAGCUUUUCUUUUUAUUUAUUUUUUUAAUGGCCUUCUUAAUUUUUCAUGCUUAUAAUGCUUAAUAACUACAAUAUGCAGGGCAGAAUAAUCAUGUCCUUUUCAUGGUUCUUCUACUUGGGUUUCUUACUACUGAAGCUUCUUACGUGAUGUGUUCAUUUCAGUGUAAGCUUAUGCAGGAACUUUUCUGCUGCUCCCACCUCUCUCUAGCCAUUGUGGAUAUUUCGUCUUCUUGCAUAAUGCAUACAUCAGACAAGAGACAUUUUGCAUAUUUCAGACUAUAUUAGUGAUUAGAAUUUCUCAUCAGAUCAGACAGUGUUCCUAGAUUCUUGAAGGAUGCAUCUCAGGUUCUUACUUCUUAGUUAUGAUAUCCUAGAUUUUGAACGUUGUAUGAGGUAGACAUGAUAUAUUAAAGUAUUUACAAUUUCCAACAUACUGUGCAAGCUUAUGUUUGAGCAAUGAAACUCAUCAAUGCAUUCAUCUGCUUAGAAUUACAUUCUACUAGCACUAGUUCAUGUGUUUGUGUUUUAUUUCCAGUUGCCAGAGAUUCCAAGAUCUUAGGUGGAAAUAGGUUUGAGGUAGGCCAUCCUAUGCUGGUAUUAUCCAGUGUUAGCCCUUCCAUUAUUAUGUAAUCCUAAAUUUGUUUUAGGUAUUAUCUAUCAGGCCUAUGCAGUAUGUCUAACAUUUUUUUUUCCUGAUGUAUGUGUAUAGAUUGGUCUGGCUGGAAGUUUGGUUAUCAGUACAAUGUUAUUCACUCUUCUCCAAGUACUAUGGCAGGUCUGUUUGUUUUUGCUUGAUAUCCAAGUUCUAGAUUCCUUGAGAGCUCAUAAUUGAAAGUAUUCUGUUGCACUAUCUGAUAUGAAUCUUUUUAAUGACUAGGGGGGGUUUAUGGCAUGGCAUAUAUAUUGUAUAUGCUUUAACAUCAGGACUGAUGAGUGGGUAAGUUCCCUAAUGAUUGUAGCAUUAAAACAGAGAGGUGAAAUAUUUAUUCCGCGCAAGAGAUAGAGGGAGAGUUUUUUUUCUAUGUUUAUUAACCAAGGAGGGAAAGAUAUCGCCUUCUGUAAAAUAAGCUAAUUCAGUUUGCAAUAUAGAUUUUUUUUUCCCCGAGUUUAAUGUUUUUUUUUCCUUCAGAUAAACUGGAGGAAAUACCCAGAGUUUCAAGUCAUUAUUCAGUCCCAGCCAGGUAAAUAUAUCCAAAAUAUUGGUUCACUGUCUAUGGCAUCAAUGCCAGUGCCUCAACUGAAAUCUGAAGUUUCUUUCCUUUUUCUUUUUGUGAACCCAGACAGAAGCUUCACUGAGAUGAGGUUUACAAAUCCAUAUGAUAAGGGCAUUGUUCAAAAUGUGAAGGAGUUCUUUACAGUGAGAGACUGAUGGUACUAAUGCAUAUUUUGCUUGCUGUGCAAACAAUGAAUGGAUGUUCAUUUUCUCGUGUUGCAUUACCUUCCAAGUCGUGAAGGUACGUGCAUCCAUAUAUCCAAGUUUUUUCUAUAGGGCCUGUUGGAGUGAACUGAUAUUUUAUGUAAAAACGAUCCAAGAUAAACCACAUCAAUUCAUAUAACUUCCCUUUUGAUCUAAUAAUCCCAUUUCUGCUGGAAGUUGACCAUCUAUUGUCUACCCCCUUAUUUCAAGAUAGAAUUAUGCACCCCUUAGAAUCGCUUGUAGCAAACUUUAGUAGAAUUUCUUGUUUUCUGCACGAUGUCCAAAGGAAGGUUCAAGGUUUUUUGUCUUCUUUCGGACACCUUAACUGAAGUACAGGGUGGCAAUUUCUUCAAUUAGCAAGCGUGCUGCUCUGCUUUGAGCCGGUAGCCAUUCCCUGCUUCUCCAUCUCAAGCUGGAGCUGGCUUGUGUUGUGUAUAUGAAUGUCUGGAAAUAUGUAAUAUGCCAUAUUUUAGAUAUUUAUAAUUUACCUGUAUGCCAUGAAAAUUAAGUAGUGGAUAUUGUAAAACUGCAGCUGAAGUAUGGUUUUUGACAAAACGAUAGAACAUUUGUGAUCGCUUAAUCCUUUUGCUAAAUUUCCCUGUACUGGACACUGAAUAUUCUAAGGAAUUUUUCCUUUUAUCUAUGGAAUAGGGGAAGANNNNNNNNNNNNNNNNNNNNNNAUCUCACAAACACGUCACUCAAGAACUUUGUUUAGGUAACCCAUAUGCCAAAGCAGCUGGAUAUGAAGAAUAUUACUGCAAGUUAGCUAGAUUUCUUAAUGGACUCCUCUGGCUUCUUUAUCUCUCCUUUAGGAACAAGCUGGAUUUCAUCUGAUCCAUCUUAGCAUUCUCAGGCAAACUGACCUCCUCAAGAACUUGCCGCUGCUCCUCUCCACGCAAUGCCACUUAUCGUCCUUCUCCUCCUGCCCUUUGUUCCUCUCUCCAUUAGUAUGAAGAAUUUUACCUUAAACCUCGACUUUCACCUCCUCUUAUCUUGUGUACAAAGACAUCAGCUUAGAAAACGUGAGCUUCUGGUGUCUCCUUCUAAUCAAUUCUUGUGUUAAAUUAUAGCUGAAGUCUCUCGAGCCGAAGCAGACACAGCUGAAAAAGCCAUUCAAAAGGAUCCUCCCAUAUAUUGGUUCUAAAGCUGAAAAUGAGCGAUAUUGUUGAAAAUAUAUAAGAACAAGAGGCCUUGAUAAGAUCUUCAAUGGUGUUGCAACGAGAUAAGUAAACUUUUGGAAGAGUGGAUGCAAUGGGAAGUCAGCUUUAUCGGCAGAAUGAGAGGAUUUGCCUCAGAAAAGAAAAUUGAGAUUGAGAGAGUUUUAGAGAGAGGAGGUAAAUCAAACCACCUUUCUGGAGAGAAGUAGAACAGCCAAAUUUUCAUUAAAUUAAAUAUUUAUAUAUAAAUACAUAUAAUUAUUAUUUAUAUUUUAAUUAGUUAUGCAUACAUCUUAAUGUAAACUUUUAAAUCUAACAAUUAUUAAGCUUCAUAUCCUUGUGGUUCAGAUUUUCCUCAGAAUUCUUUCCAAUGAACACAUCUGUGAGAACGGCAUCAGACUCCAACGAGGCCUUCACUAUCUCCAAGCACUGAACAAAAUCACAAACAGAAUAAUAAAUUUUGUACGUCCCAAACAAUUAAAAAUUAAAGAAAAAAAAAACUCUUGAAUAGAAGAUGAGACCUUGUUGAUAUUAAUCUUGACCUCACGAAAGCUAGUAUCCUUGACAUUGAAUUUCUUGAAGAGAUCAACAAGAAAAAUACUAGAAAGUGGUAAAACCCUCAAAUCAUCCAUCACUAUAUACUUGGUUUCACCUUCUUUAACAAAUCCCACCUCCGCUUUCUUCUUCGCCGCUGCCGGAGCUGAAGAUGGAAUACCGAAGACAGGGCUAGAAAGAGUAGCAGGCGAAGUUUCAGACUUGAGUUGUUUUACAGGAAAAAAGCUUUGGAGAAGUGGAGGCGUGGACGUAGGAGAGGCCACCUCAGGUUUCAGUAGAGAUUCUUGAACUGUUUGCGAUAGAAAAUGAGUGGGUUUCAGAUUUCUUACACUCUCAAACACUCUGCUUAAAGAACUAGACAAAUUCAUGUCAUUUUCUUGAAGAAUUCCGACAAGGGAACCCAAUGGGAUCUGUAAGAAAAAAAAGAGGACGUCCACGAAAGCCUUGCCUGACUCUGCAUAUAAGACCUUGUUUGAUUGAUUUUCUACGAGGAGAUGCAAACUCAUGUCCUCAGCUUGUUUUGCAGUUGCAGUGGAUCCUUCCAUUGCAAUGUAUCUCUGCUUAGUUUUUAGAUUUUUCUUUGUUGCAGUUUGGCGCAGGAAGAGUUUGUAUUAUAUUUAAUAUUAAAUUACUAUUUAAUCCCUAUGAAUAAACUCAUUGUUAGUAUUUUAAUUUUAAAAAAUAUAUUAAAGUAUUCGUAACAUUUUAAAAAAUUUAUUAAUUAGUCCCUUUAUUAAUUUUACUCAUUAAACAUUGCAUAAAACUCUCAAUACGAAUAGAUUAAUUAAUAGCAUUUUUACAAAAUUAAAAAAAUUAAUUAAUGAGAUUUUUUAAACUAUAUGAAAUAAAUAAUAAAACAAUCAACUUAUAAAAUUUAUAGAAAAAUUAAUUAACAAUUUUUUUUAAAAUGUUUAAAAAAAUUUAUGUAUUUUUUAAAAAUUGAGAAUUAAUUAAUAAAUUUUUUUUAUAAUAUGUAGACUAGAUAGUAAUUUUUUCUAGUGGGUGAACUUCAAUCCCAUCUGCAAACUUAAGCUUUAAGUUAUAAGACUAUUAUGUAAUAAUCAAAAGCAGGGGAAUGGUAUAUGUCAUUUCAUUAAUACUAAAGUCAUCUCUUAACUGAAGUUUCGAAUUGGAAUUGAUCGGAAAAGCAAAUGGGGACCGUUCUGUACCAUGUAAAGAAGCGUUUGUCCUGCUUUUGGACAACCAACGUUAAAGUAAAUGGAAAAUGCUUACCAUCUGCUUGCACUCACUUUCUUUAUUAUUGUGCUGCCAAAACUUCAUUCACUGUCUUUUACAUGUUUAUUGCUGAAAACAAAUAAAAUUAUAAGAAAUUUACUAUUUUGUUAUUGUGUAUUAUUAUUAUUAUCAAGUCAGUUUAUAUUUUUAUAAAUCUAUUAAAAUGUUUUUAUUUUUCUUUCUGUGAACGAAAUUAUUUUUUUUAUUUUUUUCCGUUAAAAAUAGAUAAAAGAUGGGAGAAAAUUUUUAAAAUCUAAUUUUACUCUCAAAUAAAAUUUUUUAUUUAGUAUUUGGAUAUUACUAUUAUUAACAAAUCAGUUUCUACAUUUUCAAAAAUAUAUUAAAACGUCCUUAUUAUUAUUUUUAUUAACGAAAUAGUCUCUUCUCCUUUUCUUUCUCCUCCUCUUUAAAAAAGAAGAAAAAGAAGAAGAACUCCUCAUCCUCAAAAAAAAAAAAGAAGAAAAAGAAAAAGAUGAUGAUAACGAAGGAGAAGAAGAAGAAGAAUCGCCUCCUCCUAAAAAAAAAAAAAAAGAAAAAUCGAAGAAGAAUCAAAGAAGAACCAAAGAAGAAGAAGAGGAAGAAUCGAUGAAGAAGAAGAAAAAGGAGGAGGAGAAGGAGGAGGAGGAGAGUAAUUUGGUAUUUUGAUAUAUUUUUAACAGUAUAAAUAGAUGGAAAGACUAUUUUGUCGACAAAAAAAAAAUAACGUUUUAAUAGAUUUCUGAAAAUAUAGGAAAUGACUUGUUAAUAAUGAUAAUACUCAAAGAUUAAAUUAUAAAUCUUCCUAAAAUUAUUUAACACGUCAAAAAAUAUCCUACACUCAAUAAAAGGUAUAUAUAUAAGAAAAAUAGGAUAACUUUUUAUUUGGUCUUAAAGCGAAACAACUCUAACUCCCUCUCUUAUUUUCUUUUUCUUCUAACUCUUUUCUACAAAUAAAAGGAGUACUUUCACUAUGAAAUUUUAUAUCUAAUUAGAACAUUGAAGAAUUCUCGGUGAUUAUCUCUCACGAACGCUUGAUCAUUUUCUGUUAUUUUAUAAAUUUCUUUAAAAUUGAUAAGUUAUGAAAUUUUUAAAUGGAAAUGAAAAAUUAAAAUUAGAAACAUACCUUGAUUUAUAAAAUAAAACAAUCAAAUUGGUGAUAGAUGGAUAAUAUUAAAAGCUAAUUAAUAAAUGACUACACAUAAAACAAACCCAAUAAUAUAAAUUAGUAAACUUUGAGAUUAUGCAGUUUGAAUUAAUUUUAAGACAUAGCCACAAGCUGAAAAUCAAUUAUAGUGUGAAAGUAGUAGAAGAAGAAGAAUUUCCAGUAAAAUGAAAAGCAGAUUGGGUGGCUGGGUGGGCCAAUGAAAUAGCUUAGUUGCAUCAAAGAGUGAGAUCAUAUAAUUCUAAAAGUAGCAUCACCUCUGCUUUUAAUGCAUGACUUUGAGCAAAUUCCAGCUUUAUAGUCUCCCUUCAAGCAUACAUCUUUCUUUCUUUUAAAUAAUGGACGGAUAGAAUAAGAAAUCUAUUGAGUAUUAUACUUUUAAAAUAAAAAGUAAUUUGAGCCAUAAUUAUAUUCUGCAUUCGUAACUCAAAUAUAAAAUAAAGAAUAAUUACAUUUUCUUUUUCGAAAAUUUAAAAGUCUGUCUCGUGAAAACAAUUAACGAUACAAGUGUUGUGCUGCUAGACGAAGCAGUAAAGUGCUACACUUUAGAUGGUGAAAGUUCAGUAGUCGAAAAUAUCACUAACAUACGCUCUGAUGUUUUUUUUAAUUGAAAGAUUUGUUUAUUAUCAAUUAAUUUUUAUUACAGAAUUAAAUCAGAUUAAAUGAUAUUUUUUUUAAAUAAAAGAUUGAUAGAAUGAAAAUUGGAAUAUGAGGUUUUUUAUUAUAUAUUUAAUCAUGAAAUUAAAUUAGGUUAGAUGUAUGCCUCAGUGUAAUAGAAAGAUAUACGUAUGUUAAUCUUGAAAUCUUAAAAUCAAUUUUCGGUACCCGCAAUUUACUUCAAAACUUUAAAAUUUUAAAUAUUAUUUUUUAUUUAAAAUUAAAAAAAUAUAAUAAAUUAAUUUUAAAUUCUUCAAAAUUCAGCUCAAAAUUUUUGCAAGCAUUUGCAUGUUACAGAAAUUGACAAUAUGCAAAGCCAGCCUGCCUAAAUGCUUCGGCUUUGGGCUUAAUGUGAUUACUGUGUGGGAAAACUGUACCAUGUAAAUAAUUUUACUUGAUAUAAUGGUUAUACACUCAAUAAAUUUUCCAUUAUGUAUUUAAAAUUAUUUAGAAUUUGUUCUUUAAAAGUAUUUAGAAUUUAAUUUUAUAUUUUUAAUAAAAUUAAAAAUACUUACUAUCUUAUCUUUAUAAUUUGACCAAAUUAAUUAAACUCUCUUUAUAUUUUUCAAAUUAAAUUAAAAUAUCCCUCUAAUUUAAUUCCAUCAAUCAUAAAAAAUAUCCAUCUAAAUUAAAUAUUUUUAGCCCUUAAUUCAUAAAAAAAUUCUUAAAUUACCCUUUACAUAAUAUAAAAAAAAAAAAAAACCCAUAUUAUCGAACAUCUUCUUCCUUUCCUCUCCCUUUCUCUUCCUUCUUCUGGCAAGUUACUCAUUACAUUAUACAAAUUGAUCGGUUAAUUUAUUUAUAUUUACAAGUGAUGAUCUGAAAUUCAAAAGAGGGCAAAAUUUCGGUAUGGGUAUCUCCUCUUUUUUCCAUUAUCAGAUGACUAUUUAAUUCCUUUCUGUACCUGUAUGGGUAUGGUUUUAGAGGCAUAGGGGUCUGUAGUCCUACUGAGCCAUCAAAUCGAGUAAACUGGACUUUGACAUCUCGGGCCCUGACUGUGUUAGGUCAGACUUGCUAUCCUGAGACUGGACCAUGACCAAGAAAGUGGACUGAUGUGCUAGGUUAUCAUGAGACUCUGUCCUGAUCUUCUCUUAUAGGCUUAGUAAGGACCGGGGUGUCCGAGACCCAACUAUUAUCAAGUGUCCUUUGCCCGCUCGUUAAUUAUUCCAUAAUUAAUGAGGGAAGAAAUCCCGAUGCCCCAAUUAUUACCGCACGGCUCUAAGAACGCUUUUAUCAAAACGUCUUUUCUCCGCCUUUACCCAUUUCAAACUUUCGCUUUCGAUUUCACUCGCUACUCUGCCUCUUGCGCUGCUUCUGCUGUCUUGCUCUCUUUCUUCUUUGUGACCCUUACUUUUUCAAUCUGAGGUACAUCUUACUCCCCCAUUGAUUCUACUAGAAUUCCUAAUGUCGUGGGUCUAGUGUCUUCUGUCACCCCUUCUUCUCUUUCUCGUUAUUUUUCUAGCGACUAUACCGACACCACCAUCUAUAGAAUUAGGGCCCCUCUUCCUAAUGAGAGGAUUGUACAUUCUAAUCCCCCUCCGGCAGGUCCAAUAGAUACCCAACAAGAGUGUAGCUUAGUCUUUUUUGUUAAGUAGCACGACCUGGGGCUGACCUUCCCCUUCACCCCUUCUUAAUCGAGGUCUUCUGUCACUUUAGGGUGACUCCUCGGAUACUCUCUCCAAACUCCAUUUUGUUCAUGUGCUACUUCUAGUCUAUUUGUUUUUAUUGGGGUUUUGUCCCCUCCAUCGAGUUAUUUUCUACCUUCUUUCACCUAGCCCAGUCCAACUAUGGAUUUGACUACUUUGGUCCCCGAGCUGGGUUGCCUAUAUUCAUGGGGUAUAAGGACUCGAUCAAAGGUUGGACCGAUGCUUUUGUGGUAGUCGAGUUCAAAGAAAGCUCAAGGAUCAUGUAAUACCCGGCUAGACUCCGGUAUCGAAAUUCCUACCGUCCGGUGGAAUCUCAGAUGUUGAAAACCUCUAGAAGGGUAAAACCAUAUUUUCAUAAAAUGUUUUAAUGUAUUUUAUGGUUUUAAGCAAGAAAGGAAUUUGAGUUUUGAAUGAAAAGACCAAGGAGGUAUUUCCAGGUUCGGCCGCCGAACAUUGGAUAGUUUAGGGGGGCAAGUUAGGCUUCCGAAAGUUUCAAAGGUUCGGCCGCUGAACCUCAUGUUCGGCCGCCGAACUUGCAUGAGUUUUGGAGGCACUUUAGGCUGCCGAAAGGUGGUCUGACAGCCCUUAUAAAAGGGCUCCAUGGCCGAAACGGGCGAGUUUUCUCCCCAUUUUCGGCCACGGUGAGUCCCUGCUCUCCCAUGGUUCAUUUUUUUAUUUUUUUUCCUCCGAUAUUUAGAGUUUUAACGAGUUUUAUCUUGAUUUGAAGAUAUUUGAGCAAGUUUUGGAGCUUGGAGACCAAAGAGUUGAGAUCUCCCCCAUCUCCAAGUUAGGAUCGUUUCUCCUCUAGAUCUUCAAGAGGUAAGCUUCGAUCCAGCUAUUCUAGUAUGUUUUAAACAAGUUUUAUGAGUUUUGUGGGGUAGAAAUGCAUGUUUAGGUUAUUGUUGGUUUUAUGGGUUAUGUUGAGUUUUUGAGCAAUGUGGGUUGUUUGAUGUGUUUUGGUUGGGGUUUAAGUUAGUUUGAGACCCCUAUAUGCUUGAUGGCUUGAGUUUGCAUGUUGUAGAAUAGGUAAAUGCAUGUGUGAAUGGAUUGGGAGGUUUUUAUGCAUGAAAGAGGCUGAGUUCUGCCCUUGGAAAGAACUCAGGUUCGGCAGCCGAAGGCUCUUUCGGCCACCGAACCUGCCUGUGGAGUCCAACUUUUGGCUGCCGAACCCUGCCCCCGAAAGUGGACUUUCGGCUCUGGAAGGGAGUUUUGGCCGCCGAAGGUGCCGCCGAACAUGCAUGAGUUUCGCCUCUGGAGGGAACCUUUGACCGCCGAAAGUGCCGCCGAAGGUGCAUGACUUUCGGCUCUGGAGGGACUUU
rnacentral:lncRNA from 1 species